rnacentral:lncRNA from 1 species
GGAAAGAGAAAACAAUGUGGACAUUCCUUCGGCUGAUUCCACCUCAUUGUUCAUAGACCGUUACAAUAUGCAAAAGCAUCUCAUCAGUUGUGAGGCAUAUUAUUAACAUAGUGCCUUCAAACGAAAACCUAGCGUGUUACGCGCUCAAAAUUUCCGAGUUCUCUGCAGACAUCUCAGAUGUUAUUUGAGGGGGUACUCCUCAAACACGACUUGCUAAACAAACUGUUUACAACAAUUACAAGUUGCCUCGUCGUCACAAUCAUCUCUCUAUUGCUCGGCUGCAAUCUUUCUGAUGACAUAUGGUAGAAUACCACCAUGGGUGUAGUAAGCAAGCUCCACCUGAACACAAAUCAACAAUUUCAACGUCAGAAAUCACCAUUGAUAAUCAACACUCGCCUAGACAAAAUGCUCAGGAAAGAAUGUCUGUACCUCGGUGUCAAAGCGGAGUGUGCACGUGAACGACUUGCCGUUGUCGGUUGUGACUGUAACAUCUUGGCCAGGCUUGAUUUCAUUCACAUCAGUCGGAAGCUGGAUGGUGUAACGCUCAUGGCCAGUUAAGCCAAGACUGUCGGCAUCCUCCCCAGCCUUGAAGCAUAGAGGGACGAUGCCCAUUCCAGCAAGAUUGCUACGGUGAAUCCUCUCAAAACUCUUGGCUAUCACGGCCUUCACUCCCUGCAGACACAAAGCGAAAGCAGCACAAACCAUUAGUGACAGCUAGUGUCAUGAUGUAAGCAAAGAGACUAUUAGGUGGGAAGCAUAGUUACCUGAAGCAUUGGACCCUUUGCAGCCCAAUCCCUUGAGCUUCCACUGCCAUACUCAGCACCAGCCAGGAUGAUAGUGUCAUGCCCUUCAUUCUUGUAUUUCUGUCAAAAACACACACACAAAAUGAAAAUCGUUCAAUGAGAUAUGAAUGCUUUCUAUGUUGCAUCAAUGAAAAGCAAACUCUGGAUUCUAUGAAGUUCAAGUAUAUAUUACCAUAGCAGCAUCAAAAACAGCAAGCUUCUCCCCUGAUGGAACAUGGACGGUUUUGGGGCCAACCUCUCCCUUCAAGAACUUGUUCACAAUGCGAAUGUUGGCAAAAGUUCCCCUAGCCAUGAUCUCAUCGUUCCCUCGUCGACUGCCAUAUGAGUUGAAGUCCUUCCUUUCAACAUUGCGCUCCUUUAGAUAUUUGGCAGCUGGGCUGUCUGGGUGGAUGCUUCCAGCUGGGGAUAUGUGAUCAGUUGUGAUACUGUCACCGAAGUUGAGAAGACAAUACGCAUCCUUCACAGGCCGUGCGCCAGGAGGGGUCAUUGUCAUAUCCUUGAAAUAAGGAGGCUCAUGGAUGUAUGUUGAUUUUGGAUCCCAUGGGUAGAGAGUGCUUGCUGAUACUGGCAGCUCAUUCCACAUAGGAUUUCCUUUGGUGAUUGCCUCAUAUGUGCCCUUGAACAUGUCUGGGAGCACACUCGCCUUAACAACCUACAAGAAUUAACAGCACAAAUAUAUGAGGAAUAUCCCAAAUCUAAUAUGGUCUCAAAGAGUACAUGGAGAUAAAUAUAACAAAAAUUAAAGUUGCAGUGCCCACCUCAGCAAUCUCAUCAGUGGUAGGCCAAAUAUCCCUGAAGAAAACCUCUUUCCCAUCUUUUGAGAUGCCUACUGGUUCUUUCUCAAAAUCAAUAUUAACCUGCAGCACAUGGUCGACAGUUCAGCAAGGAAAAUCACAAGAAUAAGGAGGGAGAAGUUUGAACGUGUUGGCUUAGUAGAACUGCACCUUGCUUGCGCUAGUGCAUUGCUAGAAAAUCACAAGAAUAUUUAGGCAGAAGGUUGAACUACUCCCUCUGUCCCAUAAUGUAAGACAUUUUUUGACACUAGUGUAGUGUCAAAAAGGUCUUACAUUAUGGGAUGAAGGGAGUAGUUAGCUUAGAUCAGGGCUCUCACAGUAAUGAAUUUUAUCUGUCAAUCCAAGUUGUAGCAUUAUAGUUGCCCGGAAAAAAAGUAGUAGCAUUACAUAAAAAUACACAUUAUUGAUUUGUAUGGCUAGUUCCACGAUUUAGCAAGGCGAACCAAAAGAAUAACUACACAGGCAUUUGAACUAGUUAGCUUAGUAGGUAUGCACCCUCCUCUCACACACAAAUUGUAUUGGUGAGUCCAAGUAGUAGCAUUACAUAAAUGACAGCAAUCUUUAUUUGUUCCGGUACUUCCACAAUUUAGUUUGAAAUAAUAUGCAGAGGUUUCAAUAUUGGGAAAAUGCAUGUUCUCUUACCGUGCCAGCGAGAGCAUAGGCCACAACCAAUGGGGGAGAUGCGAGAUAAUUUGCUCGGGUCAACGCAUGUACACGGCCUUCGAAAUUCCUGUUCCCAGACAACACAGCAGCAGCGACAACAUCUGAAAGAUAAAAAAGUGAGUAAAAUGCACUAUUUCACAACUUUCAAUCCUUUCUCAACCAGCAAUGUCAAUCUCACCGUUGUCGGUAAUUGCAGCAGCUACGGAUUCAUCAAGAUCUCCAGAGUUUCCUAUGCACGUUGUACACCCAUAGCCAACAAUAUUGAAACCAAGCUGGUUAAGAUACUUCUGCAGACCACUGCAAAGGAAAACAAAGAAAAAUUAACAAAGGAUCCCCAAUGAAAGGGAACUUUUAGUCUAGAGAAGCAAGAGGCACCUCUUGUCCAAGUACUUCUUCACAACACCAGAACCUGGCGCAAGACUUGUCUUAAUCCAUGGUUUCACCUAAUUAAUACCAACAGUGUUAAACUAGAGCAACAGUUGGCAACCUAAAAUUAACAGAACAUAGGCAGAGAAAGUAGCACUAAAUCAUAAACUUCACUUGCAAUAAGAGAAAAGGCUGCAACAAUUUCAAACAUGAAACUAACUGAACCCAUUUUAACAUGAGGGUACGAAUUACGAACAUGAUGGAGUUCCUCAUGUUUUGAAAUAGCACAAGACAAAGUGAGAAAUUGACAUAACUAUAAGCAGAAAUCAGAAAACAUAAAGUUGAGGACAGUGAGACGAACCUCCAGGCCUAGGUCACAAGCCUUUUUGGCAACCAAAGCAGCUCCCAGCAUUACAUUAGGAUUUGAUGUGUUGGUGCAACUGGUGAUAGCCGCAAUUACAACAUCACCAUGCUUUAUCUUUGCUGGCGUCCCACGGAAUGAAAACUCAGCAACUUUACCCUGUGAUUCCUUGGGGACAGCAAAACCCUGCACAGAAACGGUGUAGUGAGCAUAAGAGAAGGGGAAAGAGGGGGAUAAAAAAAAGCACAGUAAAUUUUCAGGUAUGAAGUAUUUGUAUAUGUAUUUUCUGCAAUAUUAUUGCAGUAUGGAAUUCCAAUCAUCCAAUCAACAUUGUUUUUUUUAGACAAUCACCUAGCCAACAUUGUAUUUUCAUAGGAUAUCCAAGAAUGAUAAAAAUCCAUCUUAUCAAUAAAUAAACAGCAAGAUUAUGGCAAAUAACACAAGAACAACAGUAGAGUAUGGACGUAAAUUCUUACCUUGAACCCUACUUUGUUGUCCAGGCAAGAAAGCCAAUCUGACUGCAUGUUCUUCAAUGUCACUCUAUCAUGAGGCCUGUUGAGUAUAUCUUUCAUUAGUCAAGAAUGAGACGCAUAUGCCAAGGAUAUGAGUUCCCCCGGUUACAUUACCGUUUUGGUCCGGACAGACAUGGUUCCACCUCAUCCAAGUCAAGUUCCAGAUAAGAUGAAUACACUCUUUCAGCUUGAACCUACAUCAAAGGAGAAGCAUCAGUAUUACAAAAAAAUAGAAGUAUAUUAACACAUAGUAGACAACUUAUCAUCAAAUAAAGUAUGAAAUCACCUGCUUGUAGUCGACAAACAUAUUAUUUGCACGGAGGUAAGUCUCUAUCAUGGCCACCUACAGAAUGUGACUGUCAAAAACUAGAUGCAUGUGCAGUUAAGGUGCAAAUCGAAAUGCAAUCACAGCCUAUAACAUACAGUUUCAUCACUUCUGCCAGUUAGCUUCAGGUAGUCCAAUGUCUUUGCAUCAACUGGGAAGAAACCCAUAGUCGCACCAUAUUCUGGUGCCAUGUUUGCGAUAGUAGCCCUAUCAGCAAGAGAUAGUUCACCCAUACCUCCCCCUGGAAUUUGUAGUGUGCAACAUUAGAGAAGCUCGUAAAAGAAAGCGGUGUGGAUUACGAAGCAAUGGCAUGAGGGGUACCAUAAAAUUCAACAAACUUCCCAACAACACCAUGUUUCCUAAGCAUUUGAGUUACUGUUAGAACCAAGUCUGUGGCUGUAACUCCAUUCCUCAGCUUCCCUGAUAACUUAAAACCAACAACUGCUGGCAAGACCAUGCUCAUUGGCUGCAGAACAGACCACAAUCAAUUCAGACAAUUGGCAUAAAUGGAUGAUCCCAGCAACUAUCUGUUUCACACCCUCUUUUUUAUGUCAGAGAGGUCCCAAACAUAAAACAUAAAUCGUUGCAGGCAUACUAUCAGAGAUAAAAACUUGUUAUCAGCAGAUAUUAACUUCACCUGCCCAAGCAUUGUAGCUUCUGCCUCUAUACCACCAACUCCCCAUCCAGCAACACCAAGACCAUCUAUCAUAGUUGUGUGUGAAUCUGUGCCGACAACACUAUCAGGGUAAAGUAUCCCACCAUUGUUGAAGACAACCCUGGCCAGAUAUUCAAGAUUCACCUAGAAACAGAAUUGUUAGUGUUUACUAACAGAAGUAACUUAGAUGAUUAUUUAAGAACAAAACAGUUGUUUUAUUGAAAUACCUGGUGAACAAUUCCAGAUCCAGGUGGAACAACAAGCAUGUUAUUGAAUGCAGUGGAACCCCAUUUCAAGAAUCCAAACCGCUCCUUGUUACGGCUGAACUCAAGCUCCAUAUUUGCCUGAACAGCAUUUUCCGAUCUUGCCACAUCAACUUGUACUGAAUGAUCCACAACAAGGUCUACAGGUACCUGAAAAAAUAUACAUGCAGCAAUAUAAGCAAGAGCACAAAGACACAGGCAUAAAACUGUCAUGCUAAAGCUACCCUUGGGGGUCAGUUGACAAAGAGAGCAGUUGCAGGCUGCGGUAGCGCCCACUUUGAGGGGAAAAGGCUACAUGGAUUAUCUUUUGAAACCCUUUAAUCAAUUACAGUUGAUAGGAUUAAGAAGUUGCAAACGUAUCAUUCAAACCCUAACUGGAAUAGAUGUCAUAGCUUGACUAACUGGAAUAAGAUGAUAUGCUAAGGGGCUAACCUCAAUAUUUAAGACUAAACAGUCAUACACUCACACUUAAAAACACAAUCAAUAAUUAAUGAUCUGAUCUGUGUUCAAUAAAGCAUAUAUGUUCGGAAUAAAAACAAAAUCAUACAUUCUACCUUAGUCUUGAUUAAACAAGAUAAGAUGAAAGGCUGUUAGUUAAGAUAAUAAUGAACGAAGGACCAAAGAGAUGCUAUGAGAAAUUCUCAAUCAAUGCAGCAAUUUUUACAACAUAUAUGGUCAGUUACGUAACUUGGUUAUCAAUUGUAUCAAAACAUAAGCAUGCUCACUUGAUGAUUCUUUUGUAACAUUGCAUAUCAAAAUGUGGCAUACUGAAGGAUAAGUCGGGCAGUAAACAAAACACGAAUGUCAAAUAUAUUUCCAAGAAGCUAUUAAGACAAGGAGAUAGUAAAUGUGACCACUGGUCAAUGAACUCACCAGAGGAUUAAUUUUGUUCGGGUCACUCCCAAGUUUGCUCAUAGCAUCCCUCAUACAAGCAAGAUCAACAACUGCUGGGACACCAGUGAAAUCCUAUAAAGAGACAAAUGAUGAAGUGAAUAAACUGAAGAUUUCAGCAAGCAGAGCAAGGAUCCACAUCAUCAAACAUCUCAGCAGAAACGUAUCAGAAUAAAAUAAGCAAUGUAUCCAGCUUACAGUACUGCUUGCCAGAUUAAAAUAGAAGUGUUGACUUUUAUAAUUGUCACUAGAAGAAGAAUAUGUGAUGACGAAGCAGCUAAUCUUAUACAGAAACCUAUCACCUACUGGUGCACGAUAUCUAUCUUUAAAAAUCCAGGUGACAGCAGCAAUCAUACAUCACAUACAUAAUGGGAAUAAGACAUGGUGAUUGGGGAACUACACUUUCUUGAAAGGAUAGGAAAGGGGGCCUCCAUUUCCAAUAUUCCUGCCACCAAAAGCUAUUGACUCGAACCUUUCCAACUCACAUAUUCUUUCCACGGCAACUGGACAACUUGGAACAAAAGAAGUGGAGACGAUGGCAGGAAUCAGGAUCAAUACCUGGAGGAGGACACGGGCUGGCUUGAACGGGAUUUCGACUUGCUUGGUGGCACUGUUCUCCCAGUCUAGGAUCUUCUCAACGUCCUUCCCCGUGACCUGGAACUCGUCGCAGUUUCUGAUUGCCGACUCGAGCAGAAUCCUUAUCGAGUAGGGUAGCCGAUCUGAUAUAAAAGUCAUGGGUCAAAUCAUCGGCAAUUCACAUAAUUCAGCGAUAUACAAAAAAACUGACUAGAAAACAACGCAUCCAGAGGUCAAUUCCACCGUCAGAAUUCACAAUUCGCCCCAUGGGAACGUGGAGCAGCCAAAUUUCACCAACAUUACAGACUAUCCAAGAAGGAGCAGAUCAGAGCCUAUUACGCAUCGCUUUGGAGAAGCGAACAAUUCAUGCACCCAACUCACAACAAGCGGUAACAGAGGGACCAAAACGCCGUGCAGAGCCUGAUUAGAUUCUCAAUUCACCCAACACACGGCGCGGGCUAGGAACCAGGCCGCAUAAGACGGAUACCACGCCAUAAUAGCAGACGAAAAUGGUGGGGAACAGGGAAACAACUCACCAAUCCGCGGAUCGGCGAGCGCGGGCAGGCUGUAGUACUUGCCGAAGUCGGCUCCGCCUCCCGGCUUGGCGAGGCUCGUGAGGAUUUCAUCGUACGAGUUCUUCGUCGCUGCGAAACAAACAAACGAACGAACAACCAGGCGGAGGCCCUGUUAGCGAGAGGAUAGAGCGACGCGACGCGACGAUCCGUUUCGAGGUGGCGGGGGGUCCUUACCGGCGGAGGCGAAUCGGCGCUCGAAGACGGCGGCGGCGGAGGAGGAGGAGCGGGCGGCGGCACGGCGGCCGCCGAAGAGGCGGCCCGCGAGGCCCGACGCGAAGGCCCCGCGCGGGCCCUGGCCGCCGCGGGCGGCGUGGAGCGGGGACGGGGACGGGGAGGGGGCUGGCUCCGCGGCGGCGGCCGCAGCGGGCCUGGAGAUCGCUGCCGCGGCCNNNNNNNNNNNNNNNNNNNNNNNNNNNNNNNNNNNNNNNNNNNNNNNNNNNNNNNNNNNNNNNNNNNNNNNNNNNNNNNNNNNNNNNNNNNNNNNNNNNNNNNNNNNNNNNNNNNNNNNNNNNNNNNNNNNNNNNNNNNNNNNNNNNNNNNNNNNNNNNNNNNNNNNNNNNNNNNNNNNNNNNNNNNNNNNNNNNNNNNNNNNNNNNNNNNNNNNNNNNNNNNNNNNNNNNNNNNNNNNNNNNNNNNNNNNNNNNNNNNNNNNNNNNNNNNNNNNNNNNNNNNNNNNNNNNNNNNNNNNNNNNNNNNNNNNNNNNNNNNNNNNNNNNNNNNNNNNNNNNNNNNNNNNNNNNNNNNNNNNNNNNNNNNNNNNNNNNNNNNNNNNNNNNNNNNNNNNNNNNNNNNNNNNNNNNNNNNNNGGGCGUGGGUUAUAUAGGCCGCCGUGAAUUUUGGGGCGGGGGACGCGUGGUUGGCAGGCGCGGGCGCGGUAGGGUUGGCUGGCCCGGCUGGGUCGCUGUGUGCCGAGGCGAGACGGUUUGGAUCGAGGAGGGAGGGAGGGGCGCCGCCGCGGUGGGCAGGGAGGAUGUCUUUUCUUUCUUGGAGCCGGGGCAAACGAUAACAAAUGGGCCGGGAGUAUCGGGACCGGUGGGGAGGGCCCGCGUGGCAGCGGCGGGUUCGGCUUUUUUUGGGAAAGAAAUGAAUGGGGAAUCAUGCACCUGUCUCCGGUUUGAUUGAGCUGGUGGUACUAUAUAUCGCCAAGGCCACCCGCGCUGCUUACCCCGUUUUGAUGCGUCGGUCAUGAUGGAGUGGGCUCCUUUGAUUUGAUUCAAGGGGAUUUUGUUAAAAACCUUCGAAGCUUUUCCUAUUUUUCUUGUCUGAUUCGUAAGGAAAAGAUCCUAUAACAUCCUCAAGCCAACCUAUGCUUUGUGGGUGUGAUCUACUAAUCUUAAAACCUAUGAUUCUCGAUUUAUCACACACAUUUGGCUUAUCGAGCGCACCUACGACUAGCUUGUGUUGUUCAUAUUCUAGGGCUACGAAACAUGGUUGGACAAUUACAAGCGCAAGUCCAGUCGAUCCAAAGUUUUGCUCGCAUUUUUUGUUUCUUGUUGGUUGCCUGUGUAGAGGAGAUGAUUGCACGGAGCUAUGAUCAUUUCAAAUGCGUCGGUGUUGGGGGGGUGUUACACUCUUACUACGAACUACUCAGUUCGUCCCAUAAUAUAAGACAUUCUUGAAAGCUAACAUAGCUUGCAAAACGUCUUAUGUUCUAGACUGAGGUGUUGAUUUGAAAAGCGUGGCAUACGGUACUCGAGAGCAUCGGUCGCCUUUUGAAUAUAAUUUGAGACAAUUUGGCUCGAGUGUUGAAAUCGGUGCCGUAGGUGAGGUUGGAGUUCAACCAUCCGUCCUAAACUUGAAAAAGUGGAUUUCCUCAAGCAACAAACAUAUAUUAUUUCCACUAAAAAAACAAAUGCAUACUCUUCUUUACCCGUAGAAAAAGAUCAAAACUGAAGAAGGGCAAACAUUAAUUUAUUAGAGAAAAAGAUCCCAUGUGUUUGAUCCAUCGUCCAUGUUGGUGCGACAAGAAGGUGUGUGUAGGCAAAUCGCUUUGUUGUCCCACGUAGCACGCUUCGUGGCACCUAUCUAAUCUACCUUUCCUCUUUGAACUGUCUUGCUUGGAGGUCUCGGUCAUCCACUUGAGCUUGAGGUGGUAGUAAAUCAUUGCACGAUGUUUCUUUGCUGACCGGUAGGAACACGGUCACGAAUUGUAUGUCACCUGCAAUUGUUCAUCUGUUGCAAAGUGGCAUCAAGCAAAACGGAGCAGAAUACCAAACGGGCGUUGAAACUUGGAAUGAUACAGAAAUAAAAUAUGACCAAGAAAACAUGUACUAUUUGCAUAGUUCAUUGCUGUAUUAUACCGUAUUUUCUAUAUGCGUUAAUUUGUCAUUGGAGGCAAAUGGGAAAUGGCUUUUCGGCUCAGUUUGCAUGAUAACAAAACUGGGAGAGGGCAAAGCUCGGUUGGCUUCUCCCACGUCCCAAAUUGUUGGUGAGUUGUCUUUGUCCUUUCGUUUCUUCGAUGGCCUACGCUGGCAGAGUCAACAGCCAUGUGUCGCAAUCUCCAAUCCAAACCAGGUCGUGUGCAUUCUCCAAAUUUGCGUGCAAAGCGCACUCUAAAAUGGUGCUUCUUUUAUUAUUCUAAAAAGUGGUGCUUUUACGACAUCGCCGUCCGGAAAGAAAGAUGAAUCUUUUUUUUUUUGCAUGGAAAAGAAAGAUGAAUCUGGUGCCCCGAUACGGACGUUUGUUCCUGGGUAUACACCCUGUAUGAAAAAAGAAAAGAAAUAGUGAUGCAAAAAGAAAGAAAAUUCUGAAAAUGUUUUUGAAAUAAGUUGAGCUUCUAUUGUAGUCCUAAAAAAUUUAAAAAGUUCAAAUGGGUGUGAAUAGUAACGUGUAUAUACCAAUAAAUAAAAAUACCCCUGAAGUCAACGGGGGUUUUCCUUUGUGAAAAACUUAUAUAGUGGUGCAAAAAGAAGACAAGUUUAUUCCAGAAAAAGUUCUGGAUUUUUUUGACUUUUUGUAAUUAUUUUUUCUAUAUAUGGUGUAUAUAUACCCAAGAACUAAAGGGCAUUUUCCUCUUGUGCCCCUCCAUUGUUAUAUGCAAAUAUGUAGACAACCGACGAUCAUUUGAAUACAUGUCUUGCGGGUAGUCGCCGAAAAUGUGCUCCCCGUGCAUCAUGUGUAUUGGCAGGGACCUAUUUGCUUUGUCAUCUUCUUUUACCAUUAUCAUUGGCACAUUUUUUUCUCUUGCCUUUGACUUUUUUCAGCGGCAAAUCAUGGAACAUUCGGUCUACAACAAUUUUCGUAUAUAUAAAAAUUCAAGUACUACCUCCGUCCCGGUGUAUAAGUCAUUCGCGUAGUUCUAGGUCGAUAAUUUAACUAUCUAAAUAUGUAUUAUAUGUGACAAAAAAUAUAUAUUUAGAAACUACAUCCGUGUGGAAAUCUAGUGGUAUACUUUUCAUGACAUAUAACACAUAUUUAAUUCCUCAAAUCUAUGACCUAGAACUACGCGAAUGACUUAUACACCCGGACGGAGGGAGUACUGUACAAUAUUUACAAGAAGGAAAAGAAACAAGAAAGAGUAAAAUACACUAAAGGUCCUAAAAGUAUUUCAAGUGUGUCAAGUAGGUCAUAAAAGCUUGAAAUCGUUCACCGUGGGUUCAAAAUAUGUGCAAGUCAUUCACUGCGGGUCCUAAAAGUAUUUCAAGUGUGUCCAAUAGGUCCUAAAAGUCAUGAGAAAAUACACAUAUAGGACCCGGUGAAUGAUUUCAAACUUUUAGGACCUACUUGAUACCAUUGGAAUACUUUUAGGACCUCCUGUGCAUUUUACUAUUUAAGAAAUACAUAAUUGGUAUAUGAACAAAAUUAGCCAAUGCCUUCUCUUGGCAAAUACAUGGCUUCACAAAGGAAGGAUAACACAAGCUGAAGCGACCGAGGAAUGGGUAAUCCAUAGUUGAUCACGAGCUCUGAUGCUCCCAGGUGAACAAUACAAAUAAAUAGUAAAAAAAUGAAAUUUUUACACAUCACAGAUGAACAAGUUUUUAAGGGCGUGCAAAAUUUCAUUCAAUUUGACAUCAGGGAGCUUAGGACAGAAAGAAUAAAAUCAUUGCUCCAAAACUGGAAAUAUUUAGCCUUUCUUAAAAACACUGAAUUUUCUUCAGAGUUCAUUCGAUACCCAAUCCCUAAGAAAUGUUUGCAAUCCCUUAGAAAACCUAUUGAUCUUUAAAAAUAUAUAAUAGAAACAAAUAAUUUUGUGUAUUUAUUUAUUUUAAUUUUACAUCUCCCUAGCACCGAAACGCCAUCCUCCCGAGGGAGACUCUAUGAAGGAUGAUGAAUAAGCCACUGAUUAAACAAGUGUGUUAUUAAUCUAGUUGCUUGGUUGAACAGUCACAUACUGCUUGGCUAUGAAUUCCACAAUCAUGAGGCUCUCUUUGAGUUGAUAUCUUAUCUAUGUUGUUAGUGAAGGAAAUAUGCCCUAGAGGCAAUAAUAAAGUUGUUAUUUUGUAUUUCCUUAUUCAUGAUAAAGGUUUAUUAUUCAUGCUAGAAUUGUAUUGAUCGGAAACCUUAAUACAUGUGUUAAUACAUAAACAAACAACGUGUCCCUAGUAAGCCUCUACUAAACUAGCUCGUUGAUCAAAGAUGGUUAAGGUUUCCUAACCAUGGACAUGAGUUGUCAUUUGAUAACGGGAUCAAAUCAUUAGGAGAAUGAUGUGAUGGACAAGACCAUCCGUUAGAUUAGCAUAAUAAUCGUUCAGUUUUAUUGCUAUUGCUUUCUUCAUGUCAAAUACAUAUUCCUUCGACUAUGAGAUUAUGCAACUCCCGAAUACCGGAGGAAUGCCUUAUGUGCUAUCAAACGCCACAACGUAACUGAUUAUAAAGAUGCUCUAUAGGUAUCUCCGAAGGUGUUUGUUGAAUUAGCAUAGGUCAAUAUUAGGAUUUGUCACUCCGAGUAUCGAAGAGGUAUCUCUGGGCCCUCUCGGUAAUUGAUGUCUACUAUACAACCUUCUUCUUGUAGACGUUGUUGGGCCUCCAAGUUCAUAGGUUUGUAGGACAGUAGCAAAUUUCCCUCAAGUGGAUGACCUAAGGUUUAUCAAUCCGUGGGAGGCGUAGGAUGAAGAUGGUCUCUCUCAAACAACCCUGCAACCAAAUAACAAAGAGUCUCUUGUGUCCCCAACACACCCAAUACAAUGGUAAAUUGUAUAGGUGCACUAGUUUGGCGAAGAGAUGGUAAUACAAGUGCAAUAUGGAUGGUAGAUAAAGGUAUUUGUAAUCUGAAAUUAUAAAAACAGUAAGGUAACUAAUGAUAAAAGUGAGCGUAAACGGUAUUGCAAUGCUAGGAAACAAGGCCUAAGGUUCAUACUUUCACUAGUGCAAGUUCUCUCAACAAUAAUAACAUAACUGGGUCAUAUAACUAUCCCUCAACAUGCAACAAAGAGUCACUCCAAAGUCACUAAUAGCGGAGAACAAACGAAGAGAUUAUGGUAGGGUACGAAACCACCUCAAAGUUAUCCUUUCUGAUCUAUCUAUUCAAGAGUUUGUAGUAAAUAACACGAAGCUAUUCUUUCCGUUCAAUCUAUCAUAGAGUUCAUAGUAGAAUAACACCUUAAGACACAAAUCAACCAAAACCCUAAUGUCACCUAGAUACUCCAUUGUCACCUCAAGUAUCCGUGGGCAUGAUUAUACGAUAUGCAUCACACAAUCUCAGAUUCAUCUAUUCAACCAACACAAAAUACUUCAAAGAGUGCCCCAAAGUUUCUACCGGAGAGUCAAAACAAAAACGUGUGCCAACCCCUAUGCAUAAGUUCCCAAGGUCACGGAAUCUGCAAGUUGAUCACCAAAGCAUACAUCAAGUGGAUCACGUGAAUAUCCCAUUGUCACCACAGAUAAGCACGACAAGACAUACAUCAAGUGUUCUCAAAUCCUUAAAGACUCAAUCCGAUAAGAUAACUUCAAAGGGAAAACGCAAUCCAUUACAAGAGAGUAGAGGGGGAGAAACAUCAUAAGAUCCAACUAUAAUAGCAAAGCUCGUGAUACAUCAAGAUCGUGUCAAAUCAAGAACACGAGAGAGAGAGAGAGAGAUAUCAAACACAUAGCUACUGGUACAUACCCUCAGCCCUGAGGGUGAACUACUCCCUCCUCGUCAUGGAGAGCGCCGGGAUGAUGAAGAUGGCCACCGGUGAGGGAUCACCCCUCCGGCAGGGUGCCGGAAUAGGGUCCCGAUUGGUUUUUGGUGGCUACAGAGGCUUGCGGUGGCAGAACUCCCGAUCUAUCUUGCUCCUCGAUGUUUUUAGGGUAUAUGGAGAUAUAUAGGCGAAAGAAGUCGGUUAGGGGAGCCACGAGGGGCCCAUGAGGGUGGGGGCGCGCCUCCCUGCCUCGUGGCCACCUCGAAGCUUCCCUUACGUGCACUCCAAGUCCCCUGGAUUGCUUCCGUUCCAAAAAUAACUUUCCCAAAGGUUUCAUUCCGUUUGGACUCCGUUUGAUAUUCCUUUUCUUUGAAACACUGAAAUAGGCAAAAAAACAGCAAUUCGGGCUGGGCCUCCGGUUAGUAGGUUAGGCCCAAAAAAUGAUAUAAAAGUGUAGAGUAAAGCCCAUAAACAUCCAAAAUAGGUAAUAUAAUAGCAUGGAGCAAUCAAAAAUUGUAGAUAUGUUGGAGACGUAUCAGUAAUACACAUCAUAAGCUUGCAAGCAAACGACUAAGGAGUUAGUCACGAGGUGAUGUAUUACAGAACGAGUAAAGAGACUUGCCAGUAACGAGACUGAACUAGGUAUGAAGAUACCGACGAUCGAAUCUCGGGCAAGUAACAUACUGAUGGACAAAGGGAAUUACGUAUGUUGUCAUAACGGUUCAACCGAUAAAGAUCUUUGUACAAUAUGUAGGAGCCAAUAUGAGCAUCCAGGUUCGCUAUUGAUUAUUGACCAGAGAGGUGUCUCGGUCAUAUCUACAUAGUUCUCGAACCCGUAGGGUCCACACGCUUAACGUUUGAUGACGAUAUAGUAUUAUAUGAGUUAUGUGAUUUGGUGACCGAAUAUUGUUUGGAGUCCCGAUGAGACCACGGACAUGACGAGGAGUCUCCAAAUGGUCGAGAGGUAAAGAUUGAUAUAUAGGACGAUAGUAUUCAGACAUUGGAAGUGUUCCGGAGGGUACCAGAUACAUAUCGGGUCAUCGAAAGGGGUUCCGGGCACCCACGGCAAAAGAUAUGGACCUUAUGGGCCAAGAGGGGAAAUGCACCAGCCACAAGGGGCUGGUGCGCCCCCCAUAUGGGCUGGCCAAGGCGGAGAAGGAAAGAGGAAGGAGGAAAGGAAAGAAAGGGAAUAUGAUUCCCCCUUCCUCCCCCCUCCCCCCUCUUUCCUUCCCCCUCCGAUAUAUAUGGCAGGGGGUGAGGCUUGGGAGGAGCCCAAGUAGGAUUUGGUCCUACUUGCGGCGCCUCCUGGCCUCUCCCCUCCCCCUCCCACGUGUUGGGGAACGUAGUAAUUUCAAAAAAAUUCCUACGCACACUCAAGAUCAUGGUGAUGCAUAGAAACGAGAGGGGAGAGUGUUGUCCACGUACCCUCGUAGACUGAAAGCGGAAGCGUUAGAACAACGUGGUUGAUGUCGUCGUACGUCUUCAUGGCCCGACCGAUCAAGCACCGAAACUACGACACCUCCGAGUUCAAGCACACGUUCAGCUCGAUGACGUCCCUCGAACUCCGAUCCAGCCGAGUGUCGAGGGAGAGUUCCGUCAGCACGACGGCGUGGUGAGGAUCUUGAUGUCCUACCGUGGCAGGGCUUCGCCUAAGCACCGCUACAAUAUUAUCGAGGAGGACUAUGGUGGAGGGGGGGCACCGCACACGGCUAAGAGAUCAAGAGAUCAAUUGUUGUGUCUUUGGGGUGCCCCCCUGCCCCCGUAUAUAAAGGAGCAAGGGGGGAGGGGGCGGCCGUCCUAGGAGGGGGCGCGCCAUGAGGAGUCCUACUCCCACCGGGAGUAGGACUCCCUCCUUCCUUGUUGGACUUGGAGAAGGGGGAAAGAGGAGGGAGAGGGAGGAAGGAAAGAGGGGGCGCUGCCCCCCUCUCCUUGGGGGGAGGGGCGCGUGGCCCAACCCUGGCCGCAUCUCCUCUCUUCCACUAAGGCCCACUAUGGCCCAUUAAGCCCCCGGGGGGUUCCGGUAACCCCCCGGUACUUCAGUAAAAAUCCCGAUUUCACCCGGAACACUUCCGAUAUCCAAAUAUAGGCUUCCAAUAUAUCAAUCUUCCUGUCUCGACCAUUUCGAGACUCCUCAUCAUGUCCGUGAUCACAUCCGGGACUCCGAACAACCUUCGGUACAUUCAAAACUCAUAAACUCGUAAUAUAACUGUCAUCGAAACCUUAAGCGUGCGGACCCUACGGGUUCGAGAACUAUGUAGACAUGACCGAGACACGUUUCCGGUCAAUAACCAAUAGCGAAACCUGGAUGCUCAUAUUGGCUCCUACAUAUUCUACGAAGAUCUUUAUCGGUCAAACCGUAUAACAACAUACGUUGUUCCCUUUGUCACCGGUAUGUUACUUGCCUGAGAUUUGAUCGUCGAGUAUCCAAUACCUAGUUCAAUCACGUUACCGACAAGUCUCUUUACUCGUUAUGUAAUGCAUCAUUCCAUAACUAACUCAUUAGCUACAUUGCUUGCAAGGCUUAUAGUGAUGUGCAUUACCGAGAGGGCCCAGAGAUACCUCUCCGACAAUCGGAGUGACAAAACCUAAUCUCGAAAUACGCCAACUCAACAUGUACCUUUGGAGACACCUGUAGAGCUCCUUUAUAAUCACCCAGUUACGUUGUGACGUUUGGUAGCACACAAAGUGUUCCUCCAGUAAACGGGAGUUGCAUAAUCUCAUAGUUGUAGGAACAUGUAUAAGUCAUGAAGAAAGCAAUAGCAACAUACUAAACGAUCUAGUGCUAAGCUAACGGAAUGGGUCAUGUCAAUCACAUCAUUCUCCUAAUGAUGUGAUCCCGUUAAUAAAAUGACAACUCAUGUCUAUGGUUAGGAAACAUAACCAUCUUUGAUUAAUGAGCUAGUCAAGUAGAGGCACACUAGUGACAUUAAGUUUGUCUAUGUAUUCACACAUGUAUCAUGUUUCUGGUUAAUACAAUUCUAGCAUGAAUAAUAAACAUUUAUCAUGAAAUAAGGAAAUAAAUAAUAACUUUAUUAUUGCCUCUAGGGCAUAUUUCCUUCAGUCUCCCACUUGCACUAGAGUCAAUAAUCUAGAUUACACAGUAAUGAUUCUAACACCCAUGGAGCCUUGGUGCUGAUCAUGUUUUGCUCGUGGAAGAGGCUUAGUCAAUGGGUCUGCAACAUUCAGAUCCGUAUGUAUCUUGCAAAGCUCUAUGUCUCCCACCUGGACUUGGUCUCGGGUGGAAUUCAAGCGUCUCUUGAUGUGCUUUGUCCUCUUGUGAAAUCUGGAUUCCUUUGCCAAAGCAAUUGCACCAGUAUUGUCACAGAAGAUCUUCAUUGGUCCUGAUGCACUAGGUAUGACACCUAGAUCGGAAAUGAACUCCUUCAUCCAGACUCCUUCAUUUGCUGCUUCCGAAGCAGCUAUGUACUCCCCUUCGCAUGUAGAUCCCGCCACGACGCUUUGUUUAGAACUACACCAACUGACAGCUCCACCGUUCAAUAUAAACACGUAUCCGGUUUGCGAUUUAGAAUCGUCCGGAUCAGUGUCAAAGCUUGCAUCGACGUAACCAUUUACGACUAGCUCUUUGUCACCUCCAUAAACGAGAAACAUAUCCUUAGUCCUUUUCCGGUAUUUUGGGAUAUUCUUGAUCGCUGUCCAGUGAUCCACUCCUGGAUUACUUUGGUACCUCUCUGCUAAACUUAUUGCUAAGCAUACGUCAGGUCUGGUACACAGCAUUGCAUACAUGAUAGAGCCUAUGGCUGAAGCAUAGGGAACAUCUUUCAUUUUCUCUCUAUCUUCUAAUGUGGUCGGGCAUUGAGUCUGACUCAACUUCACACCUUGUAAUACAGGCAAGAACCCUUUCUUUGCCUGGUCCAUUUUGAACUUUUUCAAAACUUUAUCAAGGUAUGUGCUUUGUGAAAGUCCAAUUAAGCGUUUUGAUCUAUCUCUAUAGAUCUUGAUGCCCAAUAUAUAAGCAGCUUCACCGAGGUCUUUCAUCGAAAAACUUUUAUUCAAGUAUCCCUUUAUGCUAUCCAGAAAUUCUAUAUCAUUUCCAAUCAACAAUAUGUCAUCUACAUAUAAUAUCAGAAAUGCUACAAAGCUCCCACUCACUUUCUUGUAAAUACAGGCUUCUCCAAAAGUCUGUAUAAAACCAUAUGCUUUGAUCAUACUAUCAAAGCGUUUAUUUCAACUUCGAGAGGCUUGCACCAGUCCAUAAAAGGAUCGCUGGAGCUUGCACACUUUGUUAGCACCUUUUGGAUCGACAAAACCUUCUGGUUGCAUCAUAUACAACUCCUCUUCCAUAAAUCCAUUCAGGAAUGCAGUUUUGACAUCCAUUUGCCAUAUUUCAUAAUCAUAAAAUACGGCAAUUGCUAACAUGAUUCGGAAAGACUUAAGCAUCGCUACGGGUGAGAAAGUCUCAUCGUAGUCAACCCCUUGAACUUGUCGAAAACCUUUUGCAACAAGUCGAGCUUUGUAGACAGUUACAUUACCAUCAAUGUCAGCCUUCUUCUUGAAGAUCCGUUUAUCCUCGAUGGCUUGUCGUUCAUCGGGCAAGUCAACCAAAGUCCAUACUUUGUUCUCAUACAUGGAUCCCAUCUCAGAUUUCAUGGCCUCAAGCCAUUUUGCGGAAUCUAGGCUCAUCAUUGCUUCCUCAUAGUUCGUAGGUUCGCCAUGGUCAAGUAACAUGACCUCCAGAAUAGGAUCACAAUACCACUCUGGUGCGGAUCUUACUCUGGUUGACCUACGAGGUUGGGUAGUAACUUGAUCUGAAGUUUCAUGAUCAAUAUCAUUAGCUUCCUCACUAAUUGGUGUAGUUGUCACAGGAACCAGUUUAUGUGAUGAACUACUUUCCAAUAAGGGAGCAGGUACAGUUACCUCAUCAAGUUCAACUUUCCUCCCACUCACUUCUUUCGAGAGAAACUCCUUCUCUAGAAAGGAUCCGAAUUUAGCAACAAAAGUCUUGCCUUCAGAUCUGUGAUAGAAGGUGUACCCAAUAAUCUCUUUUGGGUAUCCUAUGAAGACACAUUUCUCCGAUUUGGGUUCGAGCUUAUCUGGUUGAAGUUUCUUCACAUAAGCAUCGCAGCCCCAAACUUUAAGAAACGGCAACUUUGGUUUCUUGCCAAACCACAGUUCAUAAGGCGUCGUCUCGACGGAUUUUGAUGGUACCCUAUUUAACGUGAAUGCGGCCGUCUCUAAAGCAUAACCCCAAAACGAUAGCGGUAAAUCAGUAAGAGACAUCAUAGAUCGCACCAUAUCUAGUAAAGUACGAUUACAACGUUCGGACACACCAUUACGCUGUGGUGUUCCAGGUGGCGUGAGUUGCGAAACUAUUCCACAUUGUUUCAAAUGUAAAUCAAACUCGUAACUCAAAUAUUCUCCUCCACGAUCAGAUCGUAGAAAUUUUAUUUUCUUGUUACGAUGAUUUUCUACUUCACUCUGAAAUUCUUUGAACUUUUCAAAUGUUUCAGACUUGUGUUUCAUUAAGUAGAUAUACCCAUAUCUGCUUAAAUCAUCUGUGAAGGUGAGAAAAUAAUGAUACCUGCCGCGAGCCUCAAUAUUCAUUGGACCACACACAUCGGUAUGUAUGAUUUCCAAUAAAUCAGUUGCUCGCUCCAUAGUUCCGGAGAACGGCGUUUUAGUCAUCUUGCCCAUGAGGCACGGUUCGCAAGUACCAAGUGAUUCAUAAUCAAGUGAUUCCAGAAGUACAUCAGUAUGGAGUUUCUUCAUGCGCUUUACACCAAUAUGACCCAAACGGUAGUGCCACAAAUAAGUUGCACUAUCAUUAUCAAUUCUGCAUCUUUUGGCUUCAACUUAUGAAUAUGUGUAUCACUAGUAUCGAGAUUUAAUAAAAAUAGAACACUCUUCAAGGGUGCAUGACCAUAAAAGAUAUUACUCAUAUAAAUAGAACAACCAUUAUUCUCUGAUUUAAAUGAAUAACCGUCUCGCAUCAAACAAGAUCUAGAUAUAAUGUUCAUGCUCAACGCUGGCACCAAAUAACAAUUAUCCAGGUCUAAAACUAAUCCUGAAGGUAGAUGUAGAGGUAGCGUGCCGACCGUGAUCACAUCGACUUUGGAACCAUUUCCCAUGUGCAUCGUCACCUUGUCCUUAGCCAAUCUUCGCUUAAUCCGUAGUCCCUGUUUCGAGUUGCAAAUAUUAGCAGCAGAACCAGUAUCAAAUACCCAGGUGCUACUGCGAGCAUUAGUAAGGUACACAUCAAUAACAUGUACUCCCUCCGUUCCAAAAUAGAUGACCCAACUUUAUACUAACUUUAGUACAAACUUGGGUCAUCUAUUUUGGAACGGAGGGAGUAUAUCACAUAUACCUUUGUUCACCUUGACAUCCUUCUUAUCCGCCAAAUACUUGGGGCGGUUCCGCUUCUAGUGACCAGUCCGCUUGCAGUAGAAGCACUCAGUCUCAGGCUUAGGUUCAGAUUUGGGUUUCUUCUCUUGAGCAGCAACUUGUUUGCUGUUCUUCUUGAAGUUUCCCUUAUUCUUACCUUUACCCUUUUUCUUGAAACUGGUGGUCUUAUUGAGCAUCAACACUUGAUGCUCCUUCUUGAUUUCUACCUCCGCAGCCUUUAGCAUUGCGAAGAGCUCGGGAAUAGUCUUGUCAUCCCUUGCAUAUUAUAGUUCAUCACGAAGCUCUUGUAGCUUGGUGGCAAUGAUUGAAGAAUUCUGUCAAUGACACUAUCAUCAGGAAGAUUAACUCCCAGUUGAAUCAAGUGAUUAUUAUACCCAGACAUUUUGAGUAUGUGUUCACUGACAGAACUAUUCUCCUCCAUCUUGCAGCUAUAGAACUUAUUGGAGACUUCAUAUCUCUCAAUCCGGGCAUUUGCUUGAAAUAUUAACUUCAACUCCUGGAACAUCUCAUAUGCUCCAUGACGUUCAAAACGUCGUUGAAGUCCCAGUUCUAAGUCGUAAAGCAUGGCACACUGAACUAUCAAGUAGUCAUCAGCUUUGCUCUGCCAGACGUUCUUAACGUCGUCAGUUGCAUCUGCAGCAGGCCUGGCACCCAGCGGUGCUUCUAGGACAUAAUUCUUCUGUGCAGCAAUAAGGAUAAUCCUCAAGUUACGGACCCUGUCCGUGUAAUUGCUACCAUCAUCUUUCAACUUUGCUUUCUCAAGGAACGCAACGGAACAACAACACGAGCCAUCUAUCUACAAUCAACAUAGACAUGCAAAAUACUAUCAGGUACUAAGUUCAUGAUAAAUUUAAGUUCAAUUAAUCAUAUUACUAAAGAACUCCCACUUAGACAGACAUCUCUCUAGUCAUCUAAGUGAUCACGUGAUCCAAAUCAACUAAACCAUGUCCGAGCAUCACGUGAGAUGGAGUAGUUUUCAAUGGUGAACAUCACUAUGUUGAUCAUAUCUACUAUAUGAUUCACGUUUGACCUUUCGGUCUCCUUGUUCCGAGGCCAUAUUUGUAUAUGCUAGGCUCGUCAAGUUUAACCUGAGUAUUCCGCGUGUGCAACUGUUUUGCACCCGUUGUAUUUGAACGUAGAGCCUAUCACACCCGAUCAUCACGUGGUGUCUCAGCACGAAGAACUUUUGCAACGGUGCAUACUCAGGGAGAACACUUCUUGAUAAUUAGUGAGAGAUCAUCUUAAAAUGCUACUGUCAAUCAAAGAAAGAUAAGAUGCAUAAAGGAUAAACAUCACAUGCAAUCAAUAUAAGUGAUAUGAUAUGGCCAUCAUCAUCUUGUGCUUGUGAUCUCCAUCUCCGAAGCACCGUCGUGAUCACCACCGUCACCGGCGCGACACCUUGAUCUCCAUCAUAGCAUCGUUGUCGUUUCGCCAUCUAUUGCUUCUACGACUAUCGCUACCGCUUAGUGAUAAAGUAAAGCAAUUACAGGGCGCUUGCAUUUCAUACAAUAAAGCGACAACCAUAUGGCUCCUGCUAGUUGCCGAUAACUCGGUUACAAAACAUGAUCAUCUCAUACAAUAAAAUAUAGCAUCACAUCUUGACCAUAUCAUAUCAAAACAUGCCCUCCAAAACCAAGUUAGACGUCCUCUACUUUGUUGUUGCAAAUUUUACGUGGCUGCUAUGGGCUGAGCAAGAACCGUUCUUACCUACGCAUCAAAACCACAAUGAUAGUUCGUCAAGUUAGUGUUGUUUUAACCUUUGCAAGGACCGGGCGUAGCCACACUCGGUUCAACUAAAGUUGGAGAAACUGACACCCGCCAGCCACCUGUGUGCAAAGCACGUAGGUAGAACCAGUCUUGCGUAAGCGUACGCGUAAUGUCAGUCCGGGCCGCUUCAUCCAACAAUACCGCCGAACCAAAGUAUGACAUGCUUAUAAGCAGUAUGACUUGUAUUGCCCACAACUCACUUGUGUUCUACUCGUGCAUAUAACAUCUACGCAUAAAACCUGGCUCGGAUGCCACUAUUGGGGAACGUAGUAAUUUCAAAAAAAUUCGUAUGCACACUCAAGAUCAUGGUGAUGCAUAGCAACGAGAGGGGACAGUGUUGUCCAUGUACCCUCGUAGACCGAAAGCGGAAGCGUUAGAACAACGCGGUUGAUGUAGUCAUACAUCUUCACGGCCUGACCGAUCAAGCACCGAAACUACGACACCUCCGAGUUCUAGCACACGUUCAGCUCGAGGAUGUCCCUCGAACUCCGAUCCAUCCGAGUGUCGAGGGAGAGUUCCGUCAGCACGACGGCGUGGUGACGAUCUUGAUGUUCUACCGUCGCAGGGCUUUGCCUAAGCACCGCUACAAUAUUAUCGAGGAGGACUAUGGUGGAGGGGGGCACCACACACAGCUAAGAGAUCAAGAGAUCAAUUGUUGUGUCUUUGGGGUACCCCCUGCCCUCGUAUAUAAAGGAGCAAGGGGGAGGGGGUGCACCAUGGGGAGUCCUACUCCCACCGGGAGUAGGACUCCCUCCUUCCUUGUUGGACUUGGAGAAGGGGGAAAGAGGAGGGAGAGAGAGGAAGGAAAGGGGGGCGCCGCCCCCCUCUCCUUGUCCUAUUCGGACUAGGGGGGAGGGGCGUGCGGCCCAACCCUGGCCGCCUCUCCUCUCUUCCACUAAGGCCUACUAUGGCCCAUUAAGCCCCCGGGGGGUUCCGGUAACCCCCCCGGUACUCCGGUAAAAUCCCGAUUUCACCCGGAACACUUCCGAUAUCCAAAUAUAGGAUUCCAAUAUAUCAGUCUUCAUGUCUCGACCAUUUCGAGACUCCUCGUCAUGUCCGUGAUCACAUCCGGGACUCCAAACAACCUUCGAUACAUUCAAAACUCAUAAACUCAUAAUAUAACUGUCAUCGAAACCUUAAGCGUGCGGACCCUACGGGUUCGAGAACUAUGUAGACAUGACCGAGACACGUUUCCGAUCAAUAACCAAUAGCGAAACCUGGAUGCUCAUAUUGGCUCCUACAUAUUCUACGAAGAUCUUUAUCGGUCAAACCGCAUAACAACAUACGUUGUUCCCUUUGUCAUCGGUAUGUUACUUGCCUGAGAUUUGAUCGUCGUGUAUCCAAUACCUAGUUCAAUCUCGUUACCGGCAAGUCUCUUUAUUCGUUAUGUAAUGAAUCAUUCCAUAACUAACUCAUUAGCUACAUUGCUUGCAAGGCUUAUAGUGAUGUGCAUUACCGAGAGGGCCCAGAGAUACCUCUCCGACAAUUAGAGUGACAAAACCUAAUCUCGAAAUACGCCAACUCAACAUGUACCUUUGGAGACACCUGUAGAGCUCCUUUAUAAUCACCCAGUUACGUUGUGACGUUUGGUAGCACACAAAGUGUUCCUCCAGUAAACGGGAGUUGCAUAAUCUCAUAGUUGUAGGAACAUGUAUAAGUCAUGAAGAAAGCAAUAGCAACAUACUAAACGAUCUAGUGCUAAGCUAACGGAAUGGGUCAUGUCAAUCACAUCAUUCUCCUAAUGAUGUGAUCCCGUUAAUAAAAUGACAACUCAUGUCUAUGGUUAGGAAACAUAACCAUCUUUGAUUAAUGAGCUAGUCAAGUAGAGGCAUACUAGUGACAUUAAGUUUGUCUAUGUAUUCACACAUGUAUCAUGUUUCCGGUUAAUACAACUCUAGCAUGAAUAAUAAACAUUUAUCAUGAAAUAAGGAAAUAAAUAAUAACUUUAUUAUUGCCUCUAGGGCAUAUUUCCUUCAGUCUCCCACUUACACUAGAGUCAAACAUUUAGAUUACACAGUAAUGAUUCUAACACCCAUGGAGCCUUGGUGCUGAUCAUGUUUUGCUCGUGGAAGAGGCUUAGUCAACGGGCCUGCAACAUUCAGAUCCGUAUGUAUCUUGCAAAUCUCUAUGUCUCCCACCUGGACUAGGUCCCGGAUGGAAUUGAAGCGUCUCUUGAUGUGCUUGGUCCUCUUGUGAAAUCUGGAUUCCUUUGCCAAAGCAAUUGCACCAGUAUUGUCACAGAAGAUCUUCAUUGGUCCCGAUGCACUAGGUAUGACACCUAGAUCGGAAAUGAACUCCUUCAUCCAGACUCCUUCAUUUGCUGCUUCCGAAGCAGCUAUGUACUCCGCUUCGCAUGUAGAUCCCGCCACGACGCUUUGUUUAGAACUGCACCAAUUGACAGCUCCACCAUUCAAUAUAAACACGUAUCCGGUUUGCGAUUUAGAAUCAUCCAGAUCAGUGUCGAAGCUUGCAUCGACGUAACCAUUUACGACUAGCUCUUUGUCACCUCCAUAAACGAGAAACAUAUCCUUAGUCCUUUUCAGGUAUUUCAGGAUAUUCUUGACCGCUAUCCAGUGAUCCACUCCUGGAUUACUUUGGUACCUCCCUGCUAAACUUAUUGCUAAGCAUACGUCAGGUCUGGUACACAACCUUGCAUACAUGAUAGAGCCUAUGGCUGAAGCAUAGGGAACAUCUUUCAUUUUCUCUCUAUCUUCUGUUGUGGUCGGGCAUUGAGUCUGACUCAACUUCUCACCUUGUAAUACAGGCAAGAACCCUUUCUUUGCCUGAUCCAUUUUAAACUUUUUCAAAACUUUAUCAAGGUAUGUGCUUUGUGAAAGUCCAAUUAAGCGUCUUGAUCUAUCUCUAUAGAUCUUGAUGCCCAAUAUGUAAGCAGCUUCACCGAGGUCUUUCAUCGAAAAACUUUUUUUCAAGUAUCCCUUUAUGCUAUCCAGAAAUUCUAUAUCAUUUCCAAUCAACAAUAUGUCGUCUACAUAUAAUAUCAGAAAUGCUACAAAGCUCCCACUCACUUUCUACAUAUAAUAUCAGAAAUGCUAUAGAUCGUCAUCGAACGUUAAGCGUGCCGACCCUAUGGCUUCGAGAACUAUGUAGACAUGAUCGAGACAUAUUGAUACGUCUCCAACGUAUCUAUAAUUUAUGUAGUAUUCAUGCUGUUAUAUUAUCAUUCUUGGGUGUUUUACAAUCAUUUUAUAGCAACUUUAUAUCAUUUUUUGGGACUAACCUAUUGACCCAGUGCUAGUUGCUGUUUUUUGCUUGUUUUUUACAUCGCAGGAAAUCAAUAUCAAACGGAGUCCAAACACCGCGAGACUCCUUGGAGAAAUUUUAUGGACCAGAAAACCCAGGAUGGGCUAGAGCAGCACCUGGGGGGUGCCCCGAGGGGGGCACAACCCACCAGGGCGCGCCUGGGCCCCCAGGCGCGCCCAGGUGGGUUGUGCCCACCUCGGUGGCCUCCCGCACCCCCUCUUUGCACUAUAAAUUCCCAAAUAUUUCAAAACCCUACGGGGUAGCCCUAGAUCAGAAGUUCCGCCACCACAAGGUCUCUGUAUCCGCGAAAACCAAUCUAGACCCUGUUCCGGCACCCUGCCGGAGGGGGGAAUCAUCUCCGGCGGCCAUCUUCAUCAUCCUGGCGGCCACCACGAUGAGGAGGGAGUAGUCCACCCUUGGGGAUUGUCACGACCGACUUUUUCAAUAAAUAAAUAUUGAGAAAAAUCGAUCUUUAAAUCCCAGUAUAGGAAAAGUCAUCCUUUCUGGUAGACAAAUGCUUGAUAAACAGAGAACCAGUAGCAUCAAAUAUAUUACAGGGAUUGAGUUGAGGCUGCUCAACAAUUUAUUACAAACUCGCCGAUAUCUUACAUAUGGGCGGUUAGGACACAGCGGUGUGGUGGCAUGCUACUAGCUCGAGGAAAAGGUGGUGGAUAACUUGACUCCUAACUGGCAGCUCAUCGAGCGUCGGGGAAGGCUCGAUGAAUUUAUUCGGGGGUUGCGAAAGCGGAUAAUACAAUGACCAAAACAGGAUCGCACGGGAUUGACUGGGACUCCUCUAGGUGUCGGACUCGCUAUCGAACUCUUCAUCCAUGAGAUCGCCUUCAUCAGCAUCUGGCCAAAUCAACAAGCCAGGUGAGUACUUUGAAAGUACUCGCAAGACAGUUCGGACAAAAGAUAUAAUCAAUGAAUGCAUGAAUGCAUCAUGAAUAAGGAUGAUGCUCAUAUAACACGAUAAUAUUGCAGGACUUGAUAAGUAAAAAUAAAUAACUGAAAACCGAUCGGGUGUCUGGAGCGACGCCUCGAAAGUUAAAUAAAUAAAAUGCAUGCCGCAGUCGGGCGUCUAAGCGACACCACAUAAAGGGCUUUAAAAGAAAUACCACAAUCGGACGUCUGAGCGACAUCGCAGACAGGGCUAUAAAAGAAAUGCCACAGUCAGACGUCUGAGCGACAUCACAUAAAGGGCUUUAAAAGAUAUGCCACCGUCGGACGUCUGAGCGACAUCGCAGACAAGGCUAUAAAAGAAAUGCCACAGUCGGACGUCUGAGCGACAUCGCAGACAGGGCUUGCAACAAAUGUAAAUAACAGGUAUGCCACCGUCGGACGUCUGAGCGACAUCACAGACAGGGCCUAUAACAAAAGUAAAUAACAUGUAUGCCACCGUCGGAUGUCUGAGCGACAUCACAGACAGGGCCUAUAACAAAAGUAAAUAACAGGUAUGCCACCGUCGGACGUCUGAGCGACAUCACAGACAGGGCCUAUAACAAAAGUAAAUAACAGGUAUGCCACCGUCGGACGUCUGGGCGACAUCGCAGACAGGGCUUGUAUAAAUGUAAAUAACAAGAUUAGUCCAUCCACAAGAAUAAUCUUUUAACCGGAUUUAUCGCACAUAAAUCCCACCGGAGUUUUGUCACUGAGGCUGAUACCUGACAAGAUAAGAUAAAUACAGUACUUGAACAAAGUACAAGAUAAUUGAAAGAUUUUUGAGACUCUACAGAGUUUGGAUGAACUGACCACAACCAACAGAUUUCGGUAGUCACGAAGGACUAGUUCCGUUUACGGUAUUUCAGUAGAAACACAUUUAACUAGUACACACCCAUUUCACCUCACCAUGCUAGGAAUCACCCUGGACAACGUCCAAGAAAAACUUUGAGACGGGGAGGCCACAACCUCGAAUAGCAUGGGAUCAAAUUUCUAUACGCGCGCUCUAAGGUGUGCCCCCCUCUCGGUCCCAAUCGGAAACACCCAUGCCCCCUGACCGGAUGACGGGCUUUAAUCCAGGGCCAUGGAACCCUCAUCCCGGCCUCUCUAUUUGGUGUGUACCAGGAAAACGAUUUGCAACUUACUAUGCCAUAUUCCUUUCGGAAAACAUGUGACAGUAUAGGAAGGAAUGAAUGGAAAUGUGAUUUGUUUCACGAUGACACGGAAGUCAAAUAAUCUGGCAUAAGACUGGCAUGUCACAACACUGCCAUCUUACCCAUCCUCAUGCCAACACAUGGCUAUGCAAAUAUGUAUCCAACAACAUAAUGCCUUCCGAAACUUACUUUCCGCUUAUGUGCAUGAAAUAUAACAUUCAAGUAAUGUUCAUAAACAUGCCAUGACUAAACUAAAAUGCAAACAUGCAACAACACUCAUCAUAUCAAGAGUUCAAACAUGCUUGCCUAGUUCGGAGUAGUCGGAGUUUAACUGUGUGAAGUUUGCACCUCCGUCACCUCCUCCGGUAUCUACGGUAUAAGAAAAAAAAUACGCACGCAACGUAAAUACCGUGAGUGUACAGAAAAGUGUUCCAAAUAUUUUUCAAAUAAAUAUUACAAAAAACUAGACAGAAAAACAAAGAUGACAGAAAAGGAAUCAAUCAAAAACCAUUUUCUGUUUAAAAGUUAUAAGAGUUUUGGUCCAAGGACCCAUCUGUAAUGAAACAGAAAGUUUCCAGGGGGCUCUGUGGAAAAGUCCAGGAUAAUGUUUCGUUUAAAAGAAACGGCUGUGAGGCUGACAGGAGGGCUCCACCUGUCGGGUUUGAAAUUUCAAACGGAGAAACAGAGCGCGACGGGGCCCGAGGGGUGCGGUGGUCGCCGGCGGCGAUCCACGGCGAGGCAAGGUGAUUCGGGGUUACCAUCGAGAUCAGUGCACCGUUCCGCGUCUGUGGGUGGUGGUGGUGGUCGCCGGCGAGCACUGUGUCGAUGGUGGCCCUUGCUCCGGUGGACGGCGGUUCGGGCAGUCGUGGAUCUUGCCGGAGGGAGCUGCGGGGAUUAAAUGGGAGUGGGGGUUAGUCUCCUAGUUGCUCGAGACGGUUGCUGACGAAGUUAGGGCGUCGGAGAAGGCCUCAUCGGAGCGAAUCAAGGUGGAGGCCGAGGCGGAAUGGGGCGGCCGGAGUCGGGGAAGAAGGGCCCCUCGAGGCUCUCCCAGUGGCUAGGCGGGGUCUAGUGAGGUGUUGGAGUCGUGCGGGGGCGAGAGCAGGCUCGGGGGUGCUAUAUAUAGCCGGCCCGAGUCGGUUGCCGUGAACGGAUAAGUCCGGCGAGUUGAUUUCGGCGGUGCUAUGGCUGGACGGUCGGCUUAGGAGCUUGAGCAUCGCCUAGGUGGAGUAGUGGUGCCAUUUUAGGGUCCAGCUCAGCACGGGAGGAAGGUUUACGGCCUGCCCUCGACGGAACGGCCGCACGGCCCGUCGACGGCAGAGAGCGCGCUCUGCGCGUGCCAAGCCACGGCGACGGUGCUGCAUGUGUGCGCUGGCAAGGAGAUGGCCACGCGGUGCCACCAGGAGGUUUGGGCGGCGCCGAACGGCGUUGAGCUACCGUUUUGCUUCCUAUCGGCCGUUACGGUGGUUCUGCUGCCGCAAAGCACGCCGGCGCAGGCGGGCCAGGGCGCCACCGAUGCCAGGAAGGCGCCAAGCGCGCGUGUGGAACUCCGGACAAGCAGGCCAGGCUGCGAGCAUCGAGCCAGCGCACAGUGGGCAUGUGACUGAAGUUCUGUCGGAGAAACGACACUGGACUUUCUGAAUUUACUGAAAAUGAACAGAAACAGUGCAUGCCAAGUGUUCGACAGAAUGAUUCUGGCAUCUAGGGAUUUUUCCUUGAGCUGAUUUUUGGUGGAGUGGUCUCUCAUUGCAACUAGAGGUUGCCUGAAUUUUGGUGGAAUUUUUUGAGAGGUGUAGAUAUGAAUUUCACCAAAUUUGGCAAAUCUGGUCCAAACUUGCAGUGAGUGAAAUUUGAAAUAUUUGAAAAGGAGAAGAGUGGAUCAAGAUGGUUCUGGGUUGUGGGUACAAAGGACUAUCCAGGGGUGUUGAGUUGAGGUCAAAAAUCAAAAGCAUUAGGGUACUUGCUUUGCAAAUCACCUAGGCUCAAAAGAAAAGACAGAAAUUAUUUUGGGAGGGGAAAUAAUUGGAAUAAAACCCAAAAAUGGAUUUUAUUAGUUUGGACAGAAUGUUUGGGUUGUACCAAAGUGGGAGGAGGGGUUUUUGGGGGAGUUUUACCAUAGGAGGCAUGGUAAACCAGAGUGGAUCAAAAAUCAAAUGAAAGACCAAAACUCAAAAGGGUUUUCUUUUUUAAAAGAAACUAAAUUCAAGAAAAAAGAUUUUUGAGAGGGCAAACUUAGAAGAUGGUUUUUAGGAAGGGUUUAAAUGACCUUCUUUCAAACCAAGCAAGGCUCUUUCUGAAAACAAAAAUCACCAAAUUUUUGGAGUGUCACAGCACCUACCCCCUUAGGAAAAAUCUCGUCCCCGAGAUUUCAGCUGAUCCUUAAACAGGUGUGGGUGCUCUGUCCGAAGAAAAUCCUCGCUCUCCCAGGUUGCUUCAUUCUCGGUGUGAUUACUCCACUGAACUCUGAAAAACUUAAUGGCUUUCUGUCAGGUCCUCCUCUCAGACUCUUCUAAUAUUUUUAUUGGGUGCUCCCGGUAAGUGAGGUCCGGUUGCACGUCAAUAUUCUCAUGUGAAACUUGCUUCUCUGGGUUGCUCACGUAUUUUCUCAACUGCGAGAUGUGAAACACGUUGUGGAUACCGAAUAAGUCUCCGGGUAGGUCUAGCUGGUAGGCUACCGUGCCUCUUCGGGCCACUAUAUGAAAUGGUCCGAUGAAUCUUGGUGCUAGUUUCCCCUUAAUCUUGAAUCACUGCAGACCCUUCAUAGGAGAAACUCUCAGGUAUACCAAUUCUCCAGGUUCAAAACUGACUUCCCGAUGCUUUCGGUCGUAAUAACUCUUUUGCCGACUUUGAGCUGUUUUGAGUCGAUCUCUAAUUGUCUUAACUUUCUCCUCGGCCUCCUUGAGCAUAUCUGGGCCAAAGAUAUGGCUGUCUCCGGUCUCUGACCAAUUUAGCGGGGUACGACAUCUUCUCCCAUAUAGAGCUUCAAAGGGUGCCAUUUGCAAGCUGGCUUGAUAGCUGUUGUUGUAUGCAAACUCUGCAUAUGGCAAACUUUCUUCCCAACUGUUCCCGUAGGUGAGGACACAGGCUCUUAGCAUGUCUUCUAGGAUUUGGUUUACGCGUUCCGUCUGCCCAUCAGUCUGGGGAUGGUAUGCGGUACUGAAGGCCAGUUGGGUUCCCAGUGCCUGUUGCAGGUGAUCCCAAAAUAUAGAGACGAACUGUGUGCCUCUAUCGGAGAUGAUAGUCUUAGGGACUCCAUGCAGGCAGACGAUACGGGCAAGAUAAAGUCUGGCCAGUCUCUGAGUGGUGUAAGUUGUCUUUACCGGAAUAAAAUGUGCCACCUUGGUUAAUCUGUCGGUUAUGACCCAUAUGGCAUCGUUUCCGUGUCGUGACCGUGGCAGUCCAACGAUAAAGUCCAUUCCAAUCUCGUCCCAUUUCCACUCGGGUAUCUUAUUUGGCUGUAACAGUCCGGCUGGUUUCUGGUGCUCGGCCUUGAUACGUUGACAAGAGUCACGGCAUGCAAUGAACGUGGCUAUAUCUCUCUUCAUACCGUGCCACCAAAAAUUUUCCUGAAGGUCCUUGUACAUUUUUGUCCCUCCAGGAUGGAUUGAAUACGGAGCUGUGUGACUUUCAGUCAAUAUCUGUUGUUUGAGGUCCUUGACAUUUGGUACGCAUAGCCUCUCUCCGUACCACAAUAUUCCUUGCUCAUCUACGUUGAAUUCUGAGGCUCUUCCCAAACUCACUUUUCUUUUUAUGCCCUCAAUGCUGGGGUGUCCGUGCUGGGCUUCCUUGAUCCUUUCCAUCAAGGUAGGAUGUAUUUCUAUAUUCGACACACUGCCUUCGGUAACCAUUAUUAGAUUGAGUCGGGCAAAUUCCUGCUGAAAUUUUGGCCUCAACUUUGGUAUACUGUCGUCGUCCAUGCUGGGAUUUCGAAUAAGUGCAUCUGCCACAACAUUUGCUUUUCCGGGAUGAUAGUGGAUUCCAACAUCAUAAUCCUUCACCAACUCUAACCAACGUCGUUGCCGUAAAUUUAACUCUGGCUAUGUGAAAAUAUACUUAAGACUCUUAUGGUCUGUGUAUAUCUCACAACGAUUCCCAAGUAGAAAGUGUCUCCAUUCCUUGAGUGCAUGGAUGACCGCUGCUAAUUCCAAGUCAUGAGUGGGAUAAUUCUCCUCAUGCUUGCGUAGUUGUCUAGAGACAUACGCAACUACCUUGCCUUCUUGCAUCAAUAAUCAUCCGAGGCCUUUCCGGGAUGCGUCACAAUAUACCUCAAAAUUCUUGUGUAUAUCUGGCACAAUUAGUACUGGUGCCGUUGUUAGUCUGCUUUUUAGCUCUUGGAAGCUUUUCUCACAUGCUUCUAUCCAUUCAAAAUUCUUGCCUUUCUUGAGCAAUUGUGUCAUGGGCUUUGCUAUAGUGGAGAAUCCUUCAAUAAAUUUCCGAUAAUAGCCUGCCAUUCCCAAGAAACUUCGUAUGUCCGUUACGUUAGCUGGUGGUUUCCAGCCAAGUACGGCCUUGACUUUUUCCGGGUCUACUGCAAUACCUUCUUGGGUUAGCACGUGGCCCAGAAAACCCACCUGCCUUAGCCAAAAUUCACAUUUGCUGAAUUUGGCGUACAGCUGAUGUUUCCUGAGUUCUCCGAGUACAAUCCUUAGAUGUUCGACGUGCUCUUCUGGUGUUUUGGAAUAUAUCAGAAUAUCAUCGAUGAAUACUACAAGAAACUUGUCCAUAUACUUCAUAAAUACUUUGUUCAUGAGGUGAACAAAAUAUGCGGGGGCGUUGGUUAGCCCGAAUGGCAUUACUGUGAACUCAUACAUCCCAUAUCUGGAGGUUAAGGCGGUCUUGGGAAUAUCUUCUGUUCGUACUUUUAAUUCGUGGUAUCCUGAUCUCAAGUCAAUUUUUGAGAAGACUUUGGCCUGUGCAAGCUGAUCGAAUAAAUCAUUUAUUCGGGGCAUUGGGUAUUUGUUCUUGACUGUGACCAUGUUGAGAGCUCGAUAAUCAAUACACAACCUCAUUGUUCCAUCCUUCUUCUUGGCAAAUAAAAUUGGAGAACCCCAAGGUGAGGAGCUGGCUCGUAUGUAUCCUUUCUCCUACAAUUCUUUUAUUUGCUUCUUCAACUCUACCAAUUCGGAUGGUGUCAUUCUGUAAGGUUUCUUGUAAAUAGGAGCGGUUCCGGGUGCUAGCUCAAUGCUGAAUUCUAUCUCUCGGUCCGGUGGCAUGCUUGGUAGUUCUUCUGGAAAUACGUCUGGGAAUUCACAUACUACUGGAACCUUGUUCAGCUCAGAAACAUCCACCUUGUUUAAUCUAGGUUGCCGAGGCAUUUGUCUCUCUUUGGCUAAAACUUUUAUUUUCUUCCCAUGAUGGUGUGUGAGAAUCAUGGUACGGUUGAAGCAGUCAAUAAAACCUUUGUUGGUGGUUAACCAAUCCAUUCCUAGGAUGACAUCCAGUCCUUUGCUUUCCAGUACAAUAAGGUUGGCGUAAAACUUCAAUCCUUCAAAUUCAAUAACCACACCUUGACAGUAACUCUGGGUCACUUGCUUAAUUCCAGGGGACUUGAUGAUCAUUGAUUUUUCCAAGGGAAGCAUCGAAAAAUUAUUUUGCAAAGCAAAACUUUUCGAAACGAAUGAGUGAGAAGCUCCAGAAUCAAACAAAACCAUGGCAGGUAUUGUGUUGACGGGGUACGUACCGAGUACGAUAUCUGGGGCGUUCUGUGCUUCCUCUCGGGUCACGUGGUUCAAGUGACCUUUCCGGUGGUUGUUGUUGGGGUUGAAAUUGCUUCGCUUUGGUGCUGAAUUAUUGCCACCAUUAUUGAGCUUCGGGGUUGAGCUCCUUGGCUUGGGGCACUGCUUGGCAUAGUGCCCUUCUUCUCCACAAGCAUAACAGGUAACGCCUGGGCGAUAGGUGAACUCUUUGUCUCUUGCAUGGAAAUUCUUGAUUGGACGUGAAUUUUCCGUUGGGGUUUUGUGUGUUCUACCCUUCUGAAUUUCCGUCUUGUUUCUGGGGUUGCGAGCAAAAGUAGUCUGGUCCCUUUUGCGUUUGCGGAAAUCUUCCAGGCUACGUCGCUCAUUUUCCAGAGUAAUGGCUUUAUCCACCAGUGUUUUAAAAUCUGGAAAGGUAUGCACAACUAGCUGGCACUUAAGGGCGGGUGACAGGCCUUCCAAGAAUUUUUCCAUCUUCUUGCUCUCGGUCAUGCGUUCUUCAUUGGCGUAGCGAGACAGCAGAGUGAAUUGGCUGUUGUAUUCUGACACUGUCAUGGCUCUUUGCUUGAGUUCAUCAAAUUCUUUCUUCUUGAUUUUCAUGACGCUCUUAGGAAUAUGUGCCCCACGAAAACCUUCUUUGAAAUUUUCCUAGGUGAUUUCAUGUUCGUUGGGGUGCAUGUGCAGGAAGUUUUCCCACCACGAUGCAGUUGCUCCUGUGAGAUAAUGUGGUGCAUACAAUACUUUUUCACGGUCUGAACACUAUGCGAUAAUUAAUUUUCUCUCCAUGUCUCGAAGCCAGUCCUCGGCCUCAAGAGGCUUGUCAGUAUGAGAAAAUGUUGGAGGACGCGUCUUUUGUAACUCAGAUAAUUUGGAUUGCGGUUGAUACUGACCACGGUUACUUCCCAUAUUGAUGAAUUGGUUCAUCAUUUCAUGGUGUUGCUGCUGACUCUGUUCAUACAAACGACAAACUUGUGUAAAAGUUGUUUCACUGUCCUGUUGACUUGUCUGACCCUGAGUGAAAUUGUGGUUCUGCGGUGUGCCAUAAUUUUCUUCUGGCUGAGUUGGCAUGGAGCGCGUCCAAGAACGAGACAUCUUUCACUCUGGGGAUAUAUUUUGUGAACUCGUAAGAUAAGAAGGAGAGUCGCAAAAGUCAAUAAAAUCACACACAAAGAACAUUUUUAAACUCCAGGAUAUUUUUGGAAACACACGAUUGCGCGCGGAGAAGGACUAUUACAUAUCUUACACGCGGGCAUAAUUAUACAGUACAUCACUCAGGACAUGCGUACAUAAUCCUGACAUGUCAUUUAAACUAGUGCACUCCUCCAGAUCCUACAUGAUGCGCAAAUAGGCUACUUCUCACAACUUAUGUACAUAUAAACAUAUUACACAAGUCGAUACACCGCAUGGCGUCUACGCGUACUCAGUCGGAGAUGGUGAGGAUCUCCCUUGGCCUGCCGAGGGUGAGACGCAGUGACGUUGAGGAAUCAACUUCCUCCUCGCUAAUCGGUUCCAGACGAGGAACGCUGCACUGAGCUGAUGGAGCAGGUGCCGUAGGCGGAGUACCCUGAAAAAGAGUGGGCGGAAUAGGUGGAGUAGCACGUAUGGGAGUGGGUGCAAAAAGUGGUGCAGCGCGAACAGGAGUGGGUGCAAUAGCCUGGUUGAAUUCCUCAGUGGUAGGCAGACGACGUGCAGUAGCGAGAAUGGUAGGCGAAUGAGAAGCUGAGGACGAGAUAAUGGUCAGCGGUGGAGCGGUGUGUAGGAGUUCCCUCCUGUUAGCAGCACAACCAUGAACUGAGUCCAUGCGGGCAGCUACGAGGUCGUCCACCAUGCUGUCAAAGGCUGCCUCCAGGGCUCGGAGGUACUCGACAAGCAUCUCAAAGGCCUCGUCUUGCUCUCCUCUGGGGCAAGAGAAUGAGUAGUGACAGGUGUAAGGCACAUGGCAUGGAAGGUAGCGAUAGCAACGGGUCUUCAUUGCAGGAAGGACAUCCCGAAGACGAGUUAUCGCCUCGCGGGCUGCCAUCUGCAUAGCAUGCCUUUCUGUAGGCAUGGCUCUCCCCACGAAACGGAAGCGGCACAUCUCAACACGCCCUCCCCUGAAUUGCACCGCGGCUUGGUGCAUGGUCAGACUGUCGUUGAUCUUGUGUGGAUAAAGCGUGAAGACUGGGCGCACGGAUGGCCCCAUCGCGACCUGAAUGAUGAAGGAGAGGAGUUUGACGAACCCCUCUGGCACGUUGGCGAACAUUUGAGACUCGCAGUCGCUGCCGGCCAUCUACAAAAGUAGGCAAAAAUUCUGAGUGAUCAGAUCAUAAAUUUUAUGCUGACUGUCAGAAACAUGACUACAUUUUGUAAAAACAAGAAUAAACACUGCCAUGCUAAUAAUUAAACUAGCGAUCGCACCUAGUGGCUUCCUACAAUCAGCCUGGCUCUGAUACCAAGUUGUCACGACCGACUUUUUCAAUAAAUAAAUAUUGAGAAAAAUCGAUCUUUAAAUCCCAGUAUAGGAAAAGUCAUCCUUUCUGGUAGACAAAUGCUUGAUAAACAGAGAACCAGUAGCAUCAAAUAUAUUACAGGGAUUGAGCUGAGGCUGCUCAACAAUUUAUUACAAACUCAUCGAUAUCUUACAUAUGGGCGGUUAGGACACAAGGGUGUGGUGGCAUGCUACUAGCUCGAGGAAAAGAUGGUGGAUAACUUGACUCCUAACUGGCAGCUCAUCGAGCGUCGGGGAAGGCUCGAUGAAUUUAUUCGGGGGUUGCGGAAGCGGAUAAUACAAUGACCAAAAUAGGAUCGCACGGGACUGACUGGGACUCCUCUAGGCGUCGGACUCGCUAUCGAACUCUUUAUCCAUGAGAUCGCCUUCAUCAACAUCUGGCCAAAUCAACAAGCCAGGUGAGUACUUUGAAAGUACUCGCAAGACAGUUCGGACAAAAGAUAUAAUCAAUGAAUACAUGAAUGCGUCAUGAAUAAGGGUGAUGCUCAUAUAACAACGAUAAUAUUGCAUGACUUAAUAAGUAAAAAUAAAUAACAGAAAACCGAUCGGGUGUCUGGAGCGACGCCAAGAAAGGUAAAUAAAUAAAAUGCAUGCCGCAGUCGGGCGUCUAAGCGACACCACAUAAAGGGCUUUAAAAGAAAUACCACAGUCGGACGUCUGAGCGACAUCACAGACAGGGCCUAUAACAAAAGUAAAUAACAGGUAUGCCACCGUCGGACGUCUGAGCGACAUCACAGACAGGGCCUAUAACAAAAGUAAAUAACAGGUAUGCCACCGUCGGACGUCUGGGCGACAUCGCAGACAGGGCUAGUAUAAAUGUAAAUAACAAGAUUAGUCCAUCCACAAGAAUAAUCUUUUAACCGGAUUUAUCACACAUAAAUCCCACCGGAGUUUUUUCACUGAGGCUGAUACCUGACAAGAUAAGAUGAAUACAGUACUUGAACAAAGUACAAGAUAAUUGAAAGAUUUUUGAGACUCUGCAGAGUUUGGAUGAACUGACCACAGCCAACGGAUUUCCGUAGUCAUGAAGGACUAGUUCCGUUUACGGUAUUUCAGUAGAAACACAUUUAACUAGUACACACCCAUUUCACCUCACGAUGCCAGGAAUCACCCUGGACAACGUCCAAGAAAAACUUUGAGACGGGGAGGCCACAACCUCGAAUAGCAUGGGAUCAAAUUUCUAUACGCGUGCUCUAAGGGGUGCCCCCCUCUCGGUCCCAACCGGAAACACCCAUGCCCCCUGACCGGAUGACGGGCUUUAAUCCAGGGCCAUGGAACCCUCAUCCCGGCCUCUCUAUUUGGUGUGUACCAGGAAAAUGAUUUGCAACUUACUAUGCCAUAUUCCUUUCGCAAAACAUGUGACAGUAUAGGAAGGAAUGAAUGGAAAUGUGAUUUGUUUCACGAUGACACGGAAGUCAAAUAAUCUGGCAUAAGACUGGCAUGUCACAACACUGCCAUCUUACCCAUCCUCAUGCCAACACAUGGCUAUGCAAAUAUGUAUCCACCAACAUAAUGCCUUCCGAAACUUACUUUCCGCUUAUGCGCAUGAAAUAUAACAUUCAAGUAAUGUUCAUAAACAUGCCAUGACUAAACUAAAAUGCAAACAUGCAACAACACUCAUCAUAUCAAUAGUUCAAACAUGCUUUCCUGGUUUGGAGUAGUCGGAGUUUAACUGUGUGAAGUUUGCAGCUCCGUCACCUCCUCCGGUAUCUACGGUAUAAGAAAAAAAAUACGCACGCAACAUAAAUACCGUGAGUGUACAGAAAAGUGUUCCAAAUAUUUUUCAAAUAAAUAUGACAAAAAACUAGACAGAAAAACAAAGAUGACAGAAAAGGAAUCAAUCAAAAACCAUUUUCUGUUUAAAAGUUAUAAGAGUUUUGGUCCAAGGACCCAUCUGUAAUGAAACAGAAAGUUUCCAGGGGGCUCUGUGGAAAAGUCCAGGAUAACGUUUCGUUUAAAAGAAACGGCUGUGAGGCUGACAGGCGGGCUCCACCUGUCGGGUUUGAAAUUUCAAACGGAGAAACAGAGCACGACGGCGCCCGAGGGGUGCGGUGGUCGCCGGCGGCGAUCCACGGCGAGGCAAGGUGAUCGGGGGUUACCUUCGAGAUCAGUGCACCGUUCCGCAUCUGUGGGUGGUGGUGGUGGUCGCCGGCGAGCAAUAUGUCGAUGGUGGCCCUUGCUCCGGCGGACGGCGGUUCGGGCAGUCGUGGAUCUCGCCGGAGGGAGCUGCGGGGAUUAAAUGGGAGUGGGGGUUAGUCUCCUAGUUGCUCGAGAGGGUUGCUGACGAAGUUAGGGCAUCGGAGAAGGCCUCACCGGAGCGAAUCGAGGUGGAAGCCGAGGCGGAACGGGGCGGCCGGAGUCAGGGAAGAAGGGUCCCUCGAGGCUCUCCCAAUGGCUAGGCGGGGUCUAGUGAGGUGGUGGAGUCGUGCGGGGGCGAGAGCAGGCUCGGGGGUGCUAUAUAUAGCCGGCCCGAGUCGGUUGACGUGAACGGAUAAGUCCGGCGAGUUGAUUACGGCGGCGCUGUGGCUGGACGGUCGGCUUAGGAGCUUGAGCAUCGCCUAGGUGGAGUAGUGGUGCCAUUUUAGGGUCCAGCUCAGCACGGGAGGAAGGUUUACGGCCUGCCCUCGAUGGAACGGCCGCACGGCCCGUCGACGGCAGAGAGCACGCUCUGCGCGUGCCAAGCCACGGCGAUGGUGCUGCAUGCGUGCGCUGGCAAGGAGAUGGCCACGCGGAGCCACCAGGAGGUUUGGGCGGCGCCAAAUGGCGUUGAGCCGCCGUUUUGCUUCCUGUCGGCCGUUACGGUGGUUCUGCCGCCGCAAAGCACGCCGGCGCAGGCGGGCCAGGGCGCCACCGACGCCAGGAAGGCGCCAAGCGCGCGUGUGGAACUCCGGACAAGCAGGCCAGGCUACGAGCAUCGAGCCAGCGCACAGUGGGCAUGUGACUGAAGUUCUGUCGGAGAAACGACACUGGACUUUCUGAAUUUACUGAAAAUGAACAGAAACAGUGCAUGCCAAGUGUUCGACAGAAUGAUUCUGGCAUCUAGGGAUUUUUCCUUGAGCUGAUUUUUGGUGGAGUGGUCUCUCAUUGCAACUAGAGGUUGCCUGAAUUUUGGUGGAAUUUUUUGAGAGGUGUAGAUAUGAAUUUCACCAAAUUUGGCAAAUCUGGUCCAAACUUGCAGUGAGUGAAAUUUGAAAUAUUUGAAAAGGAGAAGAGUGGAUCAAGAUGGUUCUGGGUUGUGGGUACAAAGGACUAUCCAGGGGUGUUGAGUUGAGGUCAAAAAUCAAAAGCAUUAGGGUACUUGCUUUGCAAAUCACCUAGGCUCAAAAGAAAAGACAGAAAUUAUUUUGGGAGGGGAAAUAAUUGGAAUAAAACCCAAAAAUGGAUUUUAUUAGUUUGGACAGAAUGUUUGGGUUGUACCAAAGUGGGAGGAGGGGUUUUUGGGGGAGUUUUACCAUAGGAGGCAUGGUAAACCAGAGUGGAUCAAAAAUCAAAUGAAAGACCAAAACUCAAAAGGGUUUUCUUUUUUAAAAGAAACUAAAUUCAAGAAAAAAGAUUUUUGAGAGGGCAAACUUAGAAGAUGGUUUUUAGGAAGGGUUUAAAUGACCUUCUUUCAAACCAAGCAAGGCUCUUUCUGAAAACAAAAAUCACCAAAUUUUUGGAGUGUCACAGGGAUGAGGUUUUGUACCAGUAGCUAUGUGUUUGAUCUUUCUCUCUCAUGAUCUAUAUCCUGGGCUUUGUUAACAUAGUCGGUUCAUAUGAGGUUUCUCCCCUCUAUACUAUUGUUAUGAUGAAUUGAAUCUUUACCAUUCAAAGUUUUGUCUUGUCGGAUUGAAUAUUCGGAGAAUAUAACACAUGAUAUAUGUCUUGCAAUAUGAAUACUUGAGGUGACAAUGAGGUAUCCUAUUGAUUCACUUGAUAUGUGUUAUGGCAUUCAACUCGCGGAUUCCCGCGGUGAUAUUGGGGUAAUCUAUGCAUAGGGGUUGAUGCACGUUUUUUAUUAUCUUUUCUCCGACGGAAACUUUGGGGUCUCUUUAUAGUUCUUUGUGUGGAUUGAGUAUUAUGAAUAUGAAUUUGCUUUGGUGUUAUUCUAGUAUGAACUCUAGGAUAGAUCGAACGGAAAAAAUAGCUUUGUGUUAUUUUAGUACGAACUAUUGAAUAGAUCGAACAGAAAGAAUAGCUUUGACACUACUAGGAAAAUGCUUAUAGAUAGAAGUUUACCAGUAGCGCCUAUUUAUGACCUUACGCUACUGGUAUUGACCAGUAGCGCUGUGUAGAAAACACGCUACUACUACUAAAUAACAGCAGCGUUUGUUAGCUUGGGUCGCGCUGCUGUUACAUGGGCCAGGAAAAAACGGUAGCCCACUUACCUGUAGCGUUUGUUUCGAACGGGCGCUACAGCUGGUGGGCUUAGCAGUAGCACCGACCUCUACCCAGCGUGUAACACCCACGAUGCGGCUAUAUCUCCCACGUGUCGAAGCACGACUUAGAGGCAUAACCGCAUGGUGGUUUUGUCGCAAGGAGGGUCAUCUUCACACAAUCCCAUGUAAUGAACAAGAAUGGGAUAAAGAGUUGGCUUACAAUCGCCACUUCACACAAUGAACAUAUAAUUCAUACAUCAUUCAGAGUACACACAUAGUCCGACUACGGACGAAGCCAAAAGAAAAGAAGAUAACCCAACUGUUAGAUCCCCGAUCGUCCCAACUGGGCUCCACUACUGAUCAUCAAGAAACAAAACAUAGUAACGACCAAGGUCCUCAUCAAACUCCCAUAUAAGCUCGGUUGCAUCACCUGCACUGGUAUCAUCGGGACCUGCAACUGUUGUGGUAGUAUCUGGUGAGUCACAAGGACUCAGCAAUCUCAAAACCCGCGAGAUCAAGACUAUUUAAGCUUAUGGGUAGGAAGUGGUAAUGAGGUGGAGUUGCAGCAAGCACUAAGCAAAUAUGGUGGCUAACAUACGCAAAUAAGAGCGAGAAGAGAAGCAACGGAACGGUCGAGAAGCUAGAAGUGAUCAAGAAGUGAUCCUGAAACUACUUACGCACAAUCAUAACACAAAGACCGUGUUCACUUCCCGGACUCCGCUGAAAAGAGACCAUCACGGCUACACAUGCGGUUGAUGCGUUUUAAUUAAGUCAAGUGCCAAGUUCUCUACAACCGGAUAUUAACAAAUUCCCAUCUGCCACAUAACUGCGGGCACGACUCUCGAAAGUUUAUACCCUGCAGGGGUGUCCCAACUUAGCCCAUCACAAGCUCUCAUGGUCAACGAAGGAUAUUCCUUCUCCCAGCAAGACCCGAUCAGUCUCGGAAUCCCGGUUACAAGACAUUUCAACAAUGGUAAAACAAAACCAGCAAGACCGCCCGAUGUGCCAACAAAUCCCGAUAGGAGUCGCAUGUAUCACGUUCUCAGGGCACACCGGAUGAGCCAGACGUCGGGUUGGCAUAGACCCUGGUUGCCCAGGGGGCGCAGGACAUCGCUCGGUUCGGACCAACACUCGGAGGAGCACUGGCCCGGGGGGGCUAAAAUAAAGAUGACCCUCAGGAGGGUGACUCCCUAGGGAAAAAAUAUAGGUCCUGGGUAGGUAAAUGGAAAACCAAAGUUGGGCCUUGCUGGAGGAGUUUUAUUCAAAGCGAACUGUCAAGGGGGUCCCAUAAAUCACCCAACCGCAUAAGGAACGCAAAAUCAAGGAACAUAACACCGGUAUGACGGAAACUAGGGCGGCAAGAGUGGAACAAAACACCAGUCAUAAGGCCCAGUCUUCCACCCUUUACCAAGUAUAUAGAUGCAUUAAUUAAAUAAGAGAUAUUGUGAUAUCCCAACAUAGUCCUGUCCAUCAUGGAGCAAUCUUCAACUUCACCUGCAACUAACAAUGCUAUAAGAGGGGCUGAGCAAAGCGAUAACAUAGCCAAGCAAUGGUUUGCUAGGAAGGGUGAACAAGGUUAGAGGCUCACAUGGCAAUAUGGGAGGCAUGAUAUGACAAGUGGUAGGUAGCAUGACAUAGCGAUAACGAACAACUAAGCAAAGAUAGAAGUGAUAUCGAGGGUAAUGGUCAUCUUGCCUGAAAUCCCGCUAGGAAGAAGAACGAGUCCAUGAACAAGACAAACAGACGUAGUCGAACGAAUCCUCACAACUCCGGAACGAAACUGAAGCUAACGAUAGAAGCAAACCGGAAAGAAGCAAACAACAUGGUAAACCAACAAGCAUAAGCAUGGCAUGAUGCACAAACAAGUAUGAUGCAUGUCCGGUGUAAUAAGGCAUGGCAUGGCAAAGUGCACAAACAAAACUACAAGUUAAGUGGAGCUCAAUAUGCAACGAGUUGCAUAUUGACGAAACACCACAUUUAAUUAUUAAGUUAACUCUCGUUUAUGUAUAUACCCAACAAUAUUAAAUGUUGUUAAACAUGACAAGAGGUGAAGCAUAAUUAAACUAACAUUUAAGCAAGUUUAAAUGAGGCCGGAAACAAGAAACAACAAUUCCUGUAAAUCCCCACAUGUCAAUUAGCAAUUUAAUGCAACAACAAUUUUAAGCAUUUAAAUGUUGUUAUCAUGAUGCGGAUGACGUAUGCAAGUUAUAUGCAAUUUUUAUGAACAUGUAGACAUGAGCAUGUUAUGAAGCAUUUGUCACCGUGAUGGAAAGAAAGGAUGCCACGACAACGACAAUGAAAAUGGUGCCACGACAACAUUCCGAUGACCCGAUAACUCAAGGAGAUACCGGUGCAAAAGGAAGUGUGACGUGAGCGAGUCAUGCAAGAUGGUGGGGUGCUCCCGGAUUCCGGGUUCCCACGGGACGGCGGCAUGGCAAACGAGGAGGAACGCGCGAAGACAUCUCGGACACGGUGCGAACACGAGCAUCUCAUACAACACAUGCAUUCGGUCCACGGGUGAUCGUCUCGUGGUUAUACCUUUGAAGCGUGCGUUUUUGGCGGAACGAGUUCGUAGAGGGAAGUAGUGGUACUUGCGGGUCGUAGCGGAAGUAGCCGUUCUCGCGAUGGUAGUGGAAGUAGGGAUACACGAUGACCAUUAAGGUACUCGCGAUCUUGGCGAUAGUAGUUGUUCACGGGUCGUAGACGAACUUGGCAUAUCCAUGCGUAGGGGUACUUGGCGAUCCGUAGAUGUACACGGCAAUCAUAGUGGUACUUGGCGGUUCCGUGUAGUCGAACUUGAUGAUCCGAGGGGUACUUGGCGCAUCACCGUGUAGUUAUACAUGGGUCAAAUAGAGGCAUUGACAAAUCUGAAGGGGAACUUCUGCACAUGAGGAGGUUUUGGCGUGCAGCAAGCAACGAACAAGAGACAGAGAAAUCUCUUGCAGUCUUCCGGUAAAUGUGAACAGGAGGUCAGAUCUGACGAAGGGAAGGGGAGGCGGCCCCGACACGGGUCCUGGCAUUUGGCUGAAUCGAGUCCACGGGGACAAGCGGGCGAGCUGCUGCUGUUGCUGUUCGAGGUGAAGCAGGGGCGCAGUUCAGACGAAGCGGAGGUAGCAGCGGCAGGGCUUGGGGCUGGCGACGAAGAGAGGCGGCGGCGCUGGAGCAGGGCACUAGCGAGGCGAGGGAGAGGCCAGGCGCGGAAGACGGCGUGGAGGCGCGGCACUGGUCGCGGUCGUGGGAGGCGGAUCCGGAGCGGGAGGUCACCGACGAGGAACUGGACGGGGCGACGCUGCUGCUAUUGGUGAGGUGGCGGGGUCGAGGAAAAAGCUCAGGCGCGGGCACCAUAGGAGGAGCACAGGAGAGGAGCUCAGUGCAGGGGGCGCGAGGGGAGCUGCUGGUGCUUGCGGCCAAGGUGGCUGUGAGCAGAGGAGGCGAGAGGCCACAGGCGAGGGGUGCGAGGGCGAUGAGGAGGGGAGCGGGAGCUGUUCUCGUGCAUGUGGCGGCGCAGGGAGGGGAACAAGGGAGAGAGCGAGGGAUCGAGAGGAGAGGAGGCGAGCGCUAGGGUUGGGUUAGGUAGGCUGCGGCUGGGCCUUGGGCCAACUGGUGCAGCUGUUGGGCUGCCUCUCUCCUUACUUCUCUUCUAAAACAUAAAAAAAAGGAAGGAGAAAAAGAGAGAAGAGCAAAGAUUAGGGAAAGAAUUGGGCAUAGGGUAUGGAGAAGGUUGGAAAGGAAAUUAUGAAAGGCGUAUAAUUUAAACUACAAGUGUGUUUAUGGGUGAUUCCGAAAGAAUGAAAUACUUUGUUAUAGCUCCCUAAUAAUAUUGGGAGGAUAUGUUAUAAAGAGAAAACACCAUGUGAAUUCCCUCGAUUUAAAUGGAUCGGAGAUCCAUACAAUUUAUUUAUCUGAGAUUUUACAAAAGGGGUGCAUGAUGACAUGAUGCAAUGCAAGAGAUGCAACAAACAAAACAAAUCACACGACGAAACUCAGAGUAUCUGGAAGUCUUCUGGAGCGUCGGUCUCGGGGCGUUACGCAACGCUACUACUAGAGGAAAAGAAAACCGGCCUGAGCGCCCCCACCCCCUCACUCUCACAUUAUCGAUCCCCCUUUGCCUGCCGCCGCCGCCGCGGUUAGGGUUCCUCCCCGGCAGCCUCACCCCCAUCAAUGGCGCCGUGCGCCGCCACCAUGCACGGUCGCCUCUCGCCUCCUCCGACGCUCCAGUCCCGUAAGUCCCCCUCGAUCUCCUCCUCCCUACGCGCGCCACCACUAGCUAGCUAGGCUCCGAUCGAUUCGCCGCGGCGGCUCGAGUGAGUCGACGACCUCGCGCAUGGUGGGGCAGUUCUUAGGCACGAUGUGCACGCAGUUGUACGCCACCAUGACGGCCUUGGCUAGCCCGAAGUCCGACAGCUUCGCUGUGAAGUGCGUGCACGGUUGUUUUAGGUGGAAGUGUACCAAAUUGUUGUGUAUUUGUUGACAUUUAUACUACGUGGUUAUCUUAUCGGUGGUGUCAAGUAAGGUGGCUGGGUUAGGUGAUCAUACUAGUUGUAUACAAGGUGUGGUUGAUUUAGACUGGUGCGACUAUGUUGGCCGGCUCUUGCAGCUUGUGCGUUCUAGCUGGUGCUAAAUAUGGCCUAGCCUAGGAGAAUUAAGAACACAACAACUGGUCAAUUUUGUAUCCUCGAGUGCAUGUUUCGCUUGCACAGAAGAGACAGAAAAGUAGAGAGAGUAGAGAGAGGGGUUAGGUGAGAGUAGAGAGAGGGGUUAGGUGAGGAACUAAUCCAGAUGCACAAGUUUGGUCAGCCAAACUUGGUCGAAUCCAGGAGACAGAAAAGGAAGCAGGUAGAGGCGGGAGGGGGGGUGUCGGUGUCAAAACCGGCGGAUCUCGGGUAGGGGGUCCCGAACUGUGCGUCUAGGCGGAUGGUAACAGGAGACAAGGGACACGAUGUUUUACCCAGGUUCGGGCCCUCUUGAUGGAGGUAAAACCCUACGUCCUGCUUGAUUAAUAUUGAUGAUGUGUGUUACAAGAGUAGAUCUACCACGAGAUCAAGGAGGCUAAACCCUAGAAGCUAGUCUAUGGUAUGAUUGUUGUUCGUCCUACGGACUAAAGCCAUCCUGUUUAUAUAGACACCGGAGAGGGCUAGGGUUACACAGAGUCGGUUACAAUGGUAGGAGAUCUACAUAUCCGUAUCGCCAAGCUUGCCUUCCACGCCAAGGAAAGUCCCAUCCGGACACGGGACGAAGUCUUCAAUCUUGUAUCUUCAUAGUCUUGGAGUCCGGCCGAUGAUGAUAGUUCGGCUAUCCGGACACCCCCUAGUCCAGGACUCCCUCAGGGGGGAUUGAGGGCAGCAGAAAGGGAGCAAGUGAACUAACCUGAGCGAGGGGGGGGGAUUAAGGGCAGCAGAAGGGUGGAGGCUUGGUUUCUUCUUCCUUGGCUACUGUCCCUGGAGUUGUGGCGGCGGCGGCGGUGCCUAGUGUUCUAGGGUUUAGAGAGGGGUUCUCUCUCUCGUCCUGCCUUGGCUUUUGUUUAGUGGCGGUGGUGGUGCCUAGUGUUACAGGGUUUAGAGAGGGGUUCUCUCUCUCGAUUGAACGACUUUUGCUUGUCUGCUUGCGCAAUAAUGGCAAUAUGUCAUUUAUCUUUUUAUUAGGCUCUGUUUGGGUUACAUGAUCUCUAUUAAGUUAUUGUUUGAACUGAACUACAAUUUAGUUGUUAUUUUGCUUGCCAUGUGAACCUAAUGUGUAUUCUCUAUGAUGUGAACGUGAUGUGUAUAUUAUUCAAAACCUGAUGUGUAUUGAAAACUUUAUGUUUACUUUUUGGAUCCUUAAUCCUUUAAUCAUAUUGCUUUAGGGAAAUGGCGCCACCACCACCACCACCAUGUCGACGGUGCAAGUCAAGGUGCGCCAGUAGCCUUGCAACUGGCACGCUGUUCGACAUCUACUUCAAGUCUAGUUUUCUUCAUGCAGCGGUAAUAAAUUAUAUGAAACUAGUAACCACUAUUUUGUUUUUAGUGUUAUUGGCAUUAAUGCAUCGUGUAUAUAUCAUUUUGCUUUUUGUACACAGAUCGUCCCAUGCAAUGUGAGGUCAGAAUUCAACAAGCUGACCGGAGACACUGUGACCUUUGAGGCUCCUGGGGGGCCCUACACUAUGGAGGUCGAGAAAGGACGAAAUAUGACGCAGGUGGGAGGAGAUGGAUGGGUCCGUUUCAUUGCCCACAUGCGUAUCACCGGUGGUGGGUUGAUUAGCUUCUCCUUCAGAGCAGAAAGA